rnacentral:lncRNA from 1 species
UGUAAGGCAAGUGCACCCUCCUUCAAUUUGCUUAAGCUUCACCGCUGUGGGUACGGCAAGUACGGAUCAUGAGGCCUCGGUUGAUGUGGGUACGGCAAGUAAGGCUCAUGAGGCCUCGGAGGACCAGUUCCUGACGGAUAUCCACCAGCAUGUCUGGAGCGCUCCUUUGCAGCUGGCUGCUGCUGCUCAGGCCUGGGAGGACCAGUUCCUGACGGAUAUCCACCAGCGUGUCUGGAGCGCUCCUUUGCAGCUGGCUGCUGCUGCUCGGGUGAGAGCAGCGGCGCUGCUGCAGGAGGCAGCGUGCAGCGGCAGCCGUUCGAACACGCUGCAGCUCGUCCAACUGCUUAAACAAGAAGAAAGAAAUGGCGCAACAUCAACGCAACCGAUUAAUUUUGUGCAUAAACCGUAUGUUGAUAAGAUUCUUUUCUAGGUGUUACGAACACACAUAUGAUUAUGGUUUUUCUAUUGAUAAAGCUCUACAUAUACUGUGUUUGUUAAUUUGUUAACGUGCACUCUAAUUAAGUUACACCCACGAGACUCCGUACACCGUACAUGUAUAACUGUGACACUACGUUAAAAACAAUUUUCACUGGCAGUUAAAAUCGAUGGAAUCCGCUAGCACCUCAUUAUCAGCACAAAUGAUGUGAGGAAACCCACCAGCAACUCACUGUCAGCCCUAUUUACGGAUGUCCAACCGUUCCAAUUAACGCUGGUCGGUGCUCGGCAGCCCACCAGUACAGAUAUUUAUUUUUGGGAUAAUAAAAAAACAGCCCCACCGGCCGCGGGAGCUCGCCCCACCGGCCGCCGCUCCCGCCGGCGCUCGCGCCUGCCCGCCGCCCGCCGCUCCCGCCGGCGCCCGCGCCCACCGGCCGCUCGCCGAUGCCGCGCCCCAUCGCCCGCCGCUCGCCGAGGCCGCGCCCGGUCGCCGCUCACCCGUCGCCCGCCGCUCCGGCGCCCGGGCCCGCCCCACCGGCCGCUGCUCCCGCCGGCGCCCACGCCCACCGGCCGCUCGCCGACGCCGCGCCCCGCCGCUUGGAGACUUGGGGGCGGACGGAUGGAGAAGAAGCGAGGAUGAGGAUGUCUAUUGGUGGAUAAGGGAUAGGUACGCUGGAGAGAUAAAGAUAAGGGAGAUGUAGGUGGUAUUUGCGCUGGCGACUAACGUACCCACCAGCACAGAUGUAUCCUAUUUGUAACGGGAGUGCUUAGUUAGUCCGUCAGUACAGAGCUAUUUGUGCUGAUGGGUACUAGCUUGGCGGGUGCUAAUUUCACUUGUCAGCAUGCUAUUUUCGACAUGCCAGCACAAAUCAUUUCUGACGUAGUGUGAGAAUUUUGUACAUGCAUGUACUCCCUCCGUCAUGAAAUAUAAGGCAUCCUAGAGAUUGUAGGACAUAUUAGUGGGAGUAGCAAAAGACACGUAUACCCUUAAAUUAUAUGUGGGAAGUUAUGUUGUCCAGCUUUUUUAAUGACAGUUGCAAUAAUCAAUUUACUAAUGCUAGUUUCCUCGAAAAAAAUAGUUAAUGCAAGUAGCAAAAGAAAAAGGGUUUGUGAAAAGAAAUCAGGCCGGGGUAGUGGGCACUUAACUAUAGUGUUCGCCACCAGUAUAGGGUUCGCCACGAGAAGGGCCCGCAGGCUUGUCACGUUCAAGAGAUCCGUAGCCGUAGGAGAUGCCACCACUGCCGUCGCCAAUGCAGAUCACAAAGUGCCAGAAAAUGAUACAGGCCACGAGCGACCUCGUCAUCCAAACUUGCCAAAUGCUUGGCGACAUGGAUGGGCGCGCGGGGCGAAUCGACUUAUGGUUUGCGAAUGCCAUUAGGGGUUUAAGAGGGAGAUAUAUGGUUGCGAUAGACAAGGGCACGAUUUGCUACCAGCCUUGCUCGGCUCUUAUGCAUACCCGCACCAAGGUGGAGUGUGGACGACUUUGACUGUCUCGCAAGGUGAUCACAUAUUCCCAUUAGGUCCGUCAGGUCUUGUGCGAGUCCACUCCUUGCCACCACGCGCGGAAAAAAGAUGGAACAAGUGGAGCAUGAUAAGGGUAACGAUGGAUUGCCACGAUGUCUCUCGAAGGUGCUUGGAUGUAGAGUUGCUACCCUAUUUAUAGGGAUGAAUGCAUGCGUGUAUGUAAACGUCUGAAAAAGGCUAACAUUAGUUCAUACCAUAAUGAAAACUACAGCAUGCGGAAAAAUCUCCCAAUCCCCACGAGCGUGGCUAAGUCAACAUUGCGUGUAGAAAUUUUUAAAAGUAAGCUACGACGUUAUUACAAGUGAAUUAGAUAUGAUGAGAUAUUGUUUUGGUGCUGCAACUAGGCCUCCCUACGCGCACCGCGGGCCAAGAAUCACUCCGUAGUGGUGGAAUCUUGAUCGAUGUGCUAUGUUCCACUAUGGCAUGCCGCUUCUUGACCGGAAUCAUAUUGACACAUCGAUGCAUUAUUCUUUAUUGUGUUUGUAAUUAGUUAUUAGCAGUAGCUCUAUUCCAAAGGCCUAUCAAACAAUACCCCUCAGCUAGCUAUAAAAUUGGAAAUUUGGAACCUUAGUUUGUCCUAAUUAAGUCACACUAUGAAAAUAUAUUUCAAAACAAAUCUAAUUAUACUCAUUUGAUAUUGUAAAUAUACUAUCAUUUCUUUUCUACAAGUAGUAUUGCAUCUAACUAAACAAUAUUGUUCAAAUUCAUAAUAAUAUAUAGUUUUGUUUCACAAUGGCUGUCGUGAUAACUAGUAGAGAGAGCUUUCCUGAAGACUACCCCACCCACACCAUAGUGCAAAAAUAAGUCACGCCACCAUUCCAUUAUCGUGCAAAAAGAGGUCAUACUUUGAAAUAGUGAACUGGGGCAACGAUAUUUUCGAAGCUCAUCGAACUUUUGACUAAUAACGAGUCUACUUGGACAUAUCUCGAGUUCGUAAACAUACUGCUUUCAGACUUUAGCAUAUGUAUGGAAUGCUAUGUAUGCAAAUUCAAAAAUUAAUCUUUUAGCAUCACAGAAUCUAUGUACACAGAGUGCAACAUAAGCACAACAGAAAUGAGUCCAUCUAAAAAAAUGAAGAUACUGAAGGCCACACCAAUCAGGAUUUGCAUCGCUAUAACUGCAGGGUAUCCAUUACACUUACAGUGGCAUCACCGUAGCCAUAAAGUUUCAAAACAACGUUCAAGAAUGUAUUUUGGACCAUGCCCAUAUACACCCCGUUCGUUACAAAUUUUAAGUAAUUUUAGCCUUUCUAGAUGUAUAAUUUUUAUCAUAUAUUUAAACAUUUACAUAUAGCUAGAUACAUAAGUAAAAACUAUGUACCAGUAAAGCCAAAACGAUUUUUUAUUUUGAACACAGAGAGUAUAUAUUGCCGUGUAUGGACCAUAUGCCGAUGUUUGACUACUGUGUCACAGGGAUAGGCAUAGGAGUGGGUUCGAAUGCAAAACCCACACAUUGGUCCAUGAAAUGCUUAAAACGACCUGUAAUUUGCGGAUUCGCGGACUUACCCAUUUGAUUUGCAGAAAUAAGCACAACCUAUUCUCUUCUGAAUUUUCCUGCUUGGGGGACGGUGAGCCAGCUCUAUAAAUUCAUGUACCAUAGCCUCAUAAGCACCACAACUCAAGUUUGCAAUUGAAGUACGAGAAAACAGCACCAGCUCUGUAAUCCACCCUGGCGAAUAGAUGGCAUCUGAGUAUGCUAGCGCCCCUGGUUCCCCUAUGCUUGUGGCCAUCUUGCUCGCAUGUCUAUCCUGCUUCCUCUCAAUUGCAUCUUCUUCAGCUCCCACUGCACCACUUCACAAUACAUCUGACACUGAUCUCCAGGCCCUGCUUUGCCUCAAGCUCCACCUCUCUGACAGCACCGGAGCCAUGGCUUCAUGGAAAAAUGAUUCAGUGCAGUACUGCAGCUGGCCUGGUGUCACCUGCAGCAAGAGGCACGCAUCUCGUGUAGUCUCCCUGGCUCUCGAUUCAGCUGGCCUCCAUGGUCAGAUACCUCCUUGUAUUGGCAAUCUCACUUUUCUUAGGUCUAUUCACCUUCAGAAUAAUAAAUUGAAUGGGAAAAUUCCACCUGAACUUGGGCACCUGAAUCACCUCACCUAUUUGAACCUCAGCAACAACAGCCUCACAGGCAUGAUACCAAAUACUCUGUCUUCCUGCUCCCGCCUUCAUAUCAUUAAUCUCGCAAACAAUUUCCUUGAUGGUGAGAUCCCCACAAGUCUCAGCGAAUGUUCAGAACUUCAGAAGAUCUACCUGUUCAAUAACAAAUUAUCUGGAAUCAUCCCAGACGGGUUAGGUACACUCUCCAACCUAUCAGUUUUAUUUCUCGCCAACAACGAUCUAACUGGCGGUGUUCCUCUUUCACUCGGGAGCAAUUCAUUUAUCAGGACUGUCAUUCUCACAAACAACACGCUAACCGGAGGCAUCCCACCUCUCCUUGCAAACAGUUCAUCACUUCAAUUGCUAGAUCUAACAAACAAUCAUCUCAUUGGGGAGAUUCCUUCUGCUCUUUUUAAUAGCUCAUCAAUUGUAAUAUUAGCCCUUGGGGUUAAUAACUUCGUUGGAUCUAUCCCGCCACUUGUGCAUACCUCGUCACCACUAGAGAUUCUAAUCCUAUCAGAAAACAAUCUCUCAGGUAGCAUACCUACCUCUCUAGGAAACUUUUCCUCUCUGACAUGGCUUUUGCUUUCGCAGAACAGCAUCAAAGGAGCCAUUCCAUCGAGUUUAAGCAUUAUUCCUACAAUAGAACAAUUAGACCUGAGUUUCAACAACCUGUCGGGGACUGUUCCAGCUUCUCUUUACAACAUAACAACGCUAACAUACCUUAACAUGGGCAUGAAUAGCCUCACUGGGGAAAUUCCAAAUAACAUAGGACAUACCCUACCAAAUAUUCAAACACUGAUUUUGCAAGGAAAUAAACUUAGAGGUCAAAUCCCCGCAUCCCUAGCCCUCGCAGCAAAUAUUCAAGUGAUAAAUCUCCGUGACAAUGCAUUCAGUGGAAUUGUUCCCUCCUUUAGGAACCUUCCCUACCUGACUGAACUGAAUCUAGGGAUAAAUCAACUCGAAGCCGGAGAUUGGUCUUUCUUAUCCUCAUUGAGAAAUUGCGACCAGUUGGUUUACCUAUGCCUAGACAGGAACAUCCUUAAAGGAACACUACCAAGUUCCAUUGGGGACCUUCCAAGGAGUUUACAAGUAUUAUUGUUAACAGCAAAUAAAAUAUCUGGAGCCAUACCACAGGAGAUUGAGCAACUCAAAAACCUUACACUUCUUUACAUGGAACAUAAUUUACUUGCUGGAAAUCUACCAGACUCAAUUGGAAACCUUCCAAACUUGUUUGUCCUUAGCUUAUACCAAAACAAACUUUCUGGACAAGUACCUCUGUCCAUUGGUAAUCUCAGUCAACUCAGUGAGCUUAACUUACAAGAAAAUAAUUUCAGUGGUUCAAUCCCAAAAGCUUUAGGAUACUGCAAACAUUUGGAAGCACUGAACCUCUCCCAUAAUAGCUUCAGUGGUAGCAUACCGAAGGAGCUCUUUACUCUUUCCUCGCUUGCGGAAGGUUUUGAUUUGUCUCACAACAAACUGUCUGGAGAAAUACCACUGGAGAUUGCCGGCUUGGUAAACCUCGAGUCCCUGAAUAUUUCCUAUAACCAGUUGAGUGGAAUAAUCCCCUCCACUCUGGGACAUUGCAUGCACUUGGAGUCCAUCCACAUGGAAGGGAACCUUCUACAUGGGACAAUCCCUGAAUCUUUCACUAACUUAAGAGGCGUCAGUGAGAUGGAUCUUUCUCUCAAUAAUCUGUCUGGUGAAAUCCCUGAAUUCUUUGAGUCCUUCACAUCUAUGAAGCUUCUGAAUUUGUCAUUCAACAACCUUGAGGGACCAGUACCAACAGGUGGGAUAUUUCAGAACACAGGAGUGGUGUUUAUUCAAGGUAAUAAGUUGCUAUGCGCCAGCAUCCCUUUGCUACAGCUGCCACAAUGCAAUACAGAGGCAUCCAAAAAAUGGCGAGCCUCUGCUAUUCUGAAGAUAGUAGGAUUUACUGCUCUUGCUUUGGUCUUGCUAUCAUGGUUUGCCGUUGUUCUUUUGAAGAAGAGAAAGAAAGUUACACAAUCAUCUCAUCCAUCCUGCAAGGAGUUGAUGCAGUGCUCAUACGCUGAUUUAGUCAAAGCUACAAAUGGUUUCUCCUUAGCCAACUUGGUUGGCUCAGGAAAAUCUGGAUCAGUCUACAAAGGUAGAUUUGAGUUUGAAGAACAUACAGUUGCAAUCAAGGUUUUCAAACUUGAUCAACUUGGCAUACCAAAGAGCUUCAUUGCUGAGUGUGAGACAUUGAGGAACACUCGCCAUCGUAAUCUUCUAAGGGUGAUAACUGCAUGCUCAACAUUUGAUACAAUAGGAAAUGAGUUCAAAGCUCUCAUUCUUGAAUAUAUGCCUAAUGGUAGCCUAGAGGGCUGGCUCUAUCCUAAUCUGGACAAGUAUGGAUUGAAAAGAACAUUGAGUUUGGGCUCCAGAAUAACAAUAGUCACGGACAUAGCUUCUGCUUUGGAUUAUCUGCACAAUCAUUGUGUGCCCCCUGUGGUCCAUUGUGAUUUAAAGCCCAGCAAUAUCCUUCUUGAUGAUGUCAUGGGUGCACGUCUUGCUGACUUCGGGUUAGCUAAGUUUAUUCUUAGCUUUAGUCAUUCAUGCCAUCAUAGUUCUACAAGCUUAUUGGGACCAAGAGGAUCAAUUGGAUACAUUGCACCAGGUGAAAACGUUUCCUACAAAAACUGGAGAUUUUAAAUAUCACAACCGUUUUGUCUAUUUUUGAUUAUUCAUGUUUUACAUUUCCACUAUUUGACAAUGUUCUUUUAUUUUUUUUUGUCGGUAUUAAGAGAUAAAAAAUUGUUUGACCAAUUACACAUAUAUUACAGAGUACGGCUUCGGGAGCAAACUCUCAACUGAAGGCGAUGUCUACAGCUAUGGAAUUAUCAUCUUAGAAAUUCUCACAGGGAAGCGUCCAACAGAUGAGAUGUUUACUAAUGGUUUGAACCUUCACAAGUAUGUGGAAAAGGCAUUCCCUCAAAAGAUUGCUGAAGUUCUAGAUCCUUGUAUUGUCCCAAGUUCUGAAGAUGGUGAUGCGGACAACAUUUUGGACCAUGGAAAUAAUGCAACAGAUGGGGUGGAUAUCUGCAUCUUGCAUCUCGUUAAACUCGGUCUUUUGUGCUCUAUGGAGACACCAAAUGAUCGACCAACAAUGCAGGAUGUUUAUGCUGAAGCAAUUACAAUCAAAGAAGCAUUUGCAGUGCUACAUGGUUGAGCAAAAAGUACUGUUAUUUCUGUUGUUCACAUACUAGUAGAGCAUAAUGGGCUUAAGAAUCAUUUACUUUGUGGUUGUGGGUCAGGUCUUCCAUUUCGCUACUGUGUUUGUGUUUGUCAUGUAUCAGAACUAUUAACCAAGUAAUGAAAUAAAGUUCGCCAUAGGAACUACAUUACCUUUAUUUUUGUUACAUUGUCUAAUUGAUGCAAGUUCCGUAAUAGCAUUCUACUACUUUGACACCCAGUUGAGCGCAACAAUGUAGAAACUAGUCAGAAUCGUGCAAGGCCAAAUUAUUGGAAUUGAGAGUCAGGCAGUAGAAAUGUCUCCGAUAAAUAUUUUUGAUGAAAUAUGGAUUUCUCCUCGGUAAAAAAAUGGGAGGAUAAUUAGGUCUCUAUACUUUGUAAUAACGAGGAAAAAAUAAUUUUUUUAAUCGUUAUAGUUUAUACAAAAUAGGGUCAAGAGUGCCUGCUAGACGUACCUCUUGCUUCAAUCAACGGGGAAAGGUCUGAUUCUCAGUUCAAGUGUCCAACAUAAAACCAUAGACCAAAUUGCCAAUUUUACUAAUUAUUUAGAUAAGAGUAAUAGGCCCAAACAAUCGAUAAGCCACGGAAUUGAAGAAUGCAAAAUUCCACAGGGAGAGGGCUCGUGAACUGCAAGAAGGGAGGUGACUUACUGGCCACAUGGCACCCAGUCCGGCGGCCGGUGCUAAUCGUGUGCGCGAGGUUCUAAAAAAAUGGUCACAAGCAGGAGCAAGGCACCUAGUCAGUUUAGAAUGGCCGCUACCGGUUGGUGUGCAGCAGCAUAUCUGAUGAGCGUUUGACGUCUUUUAUUUUCUUUUCUUUCUCUCGGCUGCUGGUUUCUCUCGUGUUGUAACAACUUUGUUAUUUUCUUCUAAAUCGAAAGAUACGUAGUUCUACAGCGUAUUAAAAAAAAGAGGUUCCUAAAAAAUCCUCAUCUGGUUUAUCAACUUCGUGCCUUCGUUCCGCAGGUCGUUGGCUCCCAGAACCAGGGACCCAAGGCGGGGGGUAGCAAUGUAGGACGCGCCGCCAAGGCUCCAACGACAGCUGCAGCACCUCCGUCCUCCGCCCGACGGCCUGCGCCGCCGCUCGCCGCUGCCUCGCUGGCUCGUUGGCGUUGCAGCCGUUGUGGGCCGGCGAUGUGCGGAGGAGUCUUUUGAGUGGUGGUGAUGUUUUUCGGCCCUAGGGAAUAAAUGGGCAUUGAAGGGCCUUCUAUGGGCUUUAGCGUGCACCAAGGUCGAAUUGACUUCUGACAUUUAGUUUGUAUUUAUUUCAAUGUAUCUGUCUGCAUUUUUUUUACAAGUUAUUAUCUGCAUUGACAGUGACCAUGAGCUUCCUCUUGCUCACCUUCCUGGUCGCUGCAUUCUCAGUCACACGCAGCUGCGACGCUGCCACUGCCCAGUGUAGGAUUUGAUUUGAGCUCAUUAUUCUAAUGAAUGUGCGUUGCAAUUCAAAAGUUUCAGUAGCGGUGCUCAUCUGUAUCUGUUUCUCUUGAGACAAACAAUGUCCAGAAAUGCUUUACAUAAGGCAUUACAAAGGAAAACGCCGGUUAUAUAACUGUUGAUACAAAAAAUCGGACAGUGGUCCCGACUCCUGCGUCGGACACACGACUCGGGAGAAUCUGUUUAGUUUUUGUUCGGGUUAUCGUCCUGGUGCGGUUCGCGCGGCGUGCCAGUCAAUCUGACCUGUUGAUUGAUAAGGAAGAAAAGAUGUCAAAUUCCAGAGAUUUGAUCGGCUGAGGUUCCGAUCUACUCCAAAAGAUGUAUCAGCGGAUUGACCAAUUUAAUGUAAAGAUGACCGGCUAUAAAACAGCCGAUAAUCACGUAGCAAAUGUAAAACAAACUACUAGAGUAACCUAAACAAUGCUACAGAGACAACACUUGGAAUAGAUCUAAUCGGCUGUAUGAUGAUAAACAAUGUAUUGAUAUAGCCGACAGUUCGUGCCUCAAGCUGGAUAACUGGUGAUAAAAACUAAAAUAACAGGCAAAACCUAUAAUUCUAGCAAAUAUCGAUAACUAGUGAAUAAAUCUAAACGAAACAACAGCAAUGCGCCCGAAGUUAAAGCUUAGAUAUUACUCGAAACGUGGAACUUACAAAUUGGCCGGAGGUCGCGUUGAUGCAGCCCUGCCAAUUCGCACGAACUCGUGAAAAGAAAAGGGUUUGGCGAAGUCGCCAACUUGAAAGUAAAGUUGCGUGAAAAAGUAGAUUUGUAUUGAUGAUUGUUGGUUGUUUUACAAGCCUCACAAGGCACCUAUUUAUACCCUAUUACAACUGAUUUUCUAACCGACUAUGAUUUUAUCUUUUAUUCAAAGUAACAAAUAUUUACAUACGGAUACAUCUCGCAUUGGAGUCGAACACCAAUCAAUCCUUUAUGGGCCAACCCUGUCUUCAUCUUGUUACCACCUUGGCCCAUUCAGACCCAUAUCGGCCAAGCUGUUCUAGCUUCCGUCGGCUAAUUGGCCGAAACACUGUAGCUCUAUCGGCCAAUUUACCUAGCCACAGCCCCUUGUUUAACCGUGUCGGCCACUUUCUUCUCCUCUUGACGCCGAUCCUGACACGUGUCAAAAACCGGCGUCAACACAUGCCCCCCCCCCAGUUUCGGAGUGAAACAUAUCUUUUGCUCCGAAAUUUUCUCAACCCUGAUUCCUUCCUCCGGAAGAGACGCAACACUAAAUGCAGGAAAACCCUCUUUGCUCCCGAAAUUUUCUCCUUGAUGAUUGCAUUUGUUCGAAUAGAGCGCCCGCAGGCAACCGCUCCUUUCGAAAUUAGCACAGACGGCGUGGUAAAAAUUCCAUAUUUACCCUUCUCUCGAGCCAUCCCCCAGAUACUCAUCUCUUCCGCCGCUUCUUCUUCCUCCGGGCGAAAAGGGUUUCCUUUUCGGCGAAUUGUCUCCCAACGCACUCCAGUGCCCCUGCUCAUGCCGCCUCCAGGCGCAUCCCAGUGCACUCCGGUGACUUACUUAUGUUCUUCGUCGAUCGCACCGGCUCCCAAGUUUCAAUAGCGGCACCCACAGCUACCAUGGCCUUCGUUCCUGAGGUAAAUCUUCUGGGCUUUCCUCAUCUUUUCACGAUUUCUGGAUCUAUUUUUAGUCUUUUUUCGCACUUGCUUAGGAACUCAGGCAGAGAAUUACCAUCCCCAUGGCCGACACCCCCGGACUCAUCAGUCUUAGCCCUAUGGGAGAUCCUGACCCAACCGAUCUGAUUAGCCUGGAAACUCAUUGGAUUCCAUUUAAACAAUCAACCAUGGAUUUGGACAUUUGGACGAACACCUUCAAGUCUUGGCCGAAUCAAACCCCCGGAUGGAGAGAUUGGUUUUUUAGAAUGUCAGAUUCCAACAGAGUCGUCUGGGAUGAGCGAAAAAUUGGUCAUUGCAUAAAUCUGUCCUUAUCUCACAUGGAGAAGAAUGAAUCUUUGCUCAUCGCGUCGUCUUACUUCUAAUCCGACGCUCUUAAUGCGUUCCUUUUCGGCCAUGGACCAAUGUCUCCAACCUUGGCCAAUGUCCUGAUGCUGACCGGCCUCGAUAUUUCCUCCGCCGAUUCGCCUUUCGAUUUCUUAAUCAAACCUAUUCAUCUGCUGGAGACAAAAGCCAUCGGCGGAUGGAAAGACUUUAUUGAGAAGAACAUGAGGACUGGACCCAUUACGGAGAAGGAGCACACGGCCUUCUUGUUGGCAAAUCGGCCGGUCCUACUUCCAACACACAAGUUUUGGCCGAAGCACUAGUUAGAGGCGCCGCAGUCCCUUUGGGAAAGCACCUGCUAGGAUCAGUGUACUACAUGUUUCAUCAUGUCGUCGUACAGCUGUCAUCUGGGGAACCCAUCGGGAACCCUGAUAGUCCCUGGUGGUUUAUCAAUCUCUGGCUUAACUUAUACAUGAGCAAAGUCUUCAAGAAGCGGAUUGAGACCAAGACUUUCCCUAAUGUCGAAUCAGAGACUGACCCAUCGGCAAGACGCCGCUGCACCUCCUUCGGUGAAGCUGUAUCUUCUUUCCCAGGCAGCAAGCUCGCUCCCUCAAGAAUAGCCGAGCACUUCAUAUGCUUUUAUAACGGCUUCAGAGAAGAAGUGACGAACUGGUAUCCGUAUCAAAGAGAAGAUCCAACUUUUGAGAAUCCUGACUGCUUUAACUCAGGUACCAACACUUUUGAUGAGAGAAUCAUGGACAUCUUGAUUAAACCUAGGAUUCUGCCGGUGAACUUCUUUUUUGGGAAAGAUUCCCCAACAUACGAGUUCUACAACCCGUCAAUAGCGGCUAGACAAUUUGGCUUGGGACAAAUGCCAAUCGGAGUUCACUUUGUCGGCCGAGUGAAAUUUGGAGAACCGGUUUCAAGAGGACUGGAAUACAACAGACUAUGCAAUCUGACACCGGAUUCCAACACCAUUAAUCUGAGCACUUGGCUGGUUGUCCCCUUCUCUACUCAGCAAUUCAAAUUAUGGUGGGCCGAGUGGAAACAACACCUUUUUUGUGCGGCCCCUACGGUGUAUUGCAAUCAACUGGACCCCGCUCAUGCUGAUCCGAAUGCAGAGGUAACAAUACUUUUUUUCUGUCGAUUCCUUACUUUCAUUCUUUCAUGCCGCGGAACUUUUUCAUCACUGUCCUUUCUUCUUUGUGCGGGUCGAUAGCCAAGUGCCUCCAGCGCACAGUCGAAGCGACAGGCUGAUAGAGAUCCAUCAUCCGUACAAGUCGUACCCUCUUAUCGGCUAUCAUGCCCCAUCAAUGGAAGACAUAGCCACCGGCCGAUUAAAGCACAAGCUCAAAAUGUCUACCAUAAAGAAAACAAGUCGCAGGGUACGAGCUCUUACUGAAUCGGCGACAACUCGGACAACCCACCAAUCGACAGCAACGUCGACCGAGCCCUCAGCCGCACCAAUCCAAGCAGAUGUCUUGCCGACAAUUCAGGACAUUGAUCCCCUGGCAGCAUCAGAAGUUGGGUCGACGGUUGCAUCUCUCCUGGUGGAGGCCAUACAGGUAAUCUUACUAGUCUAACUUCUUCAUAUGUAUUACCAAUACUAAAUCUGUCCCUUCUUAACAGGCCGCACAACAUAUCCCGGAGCAGACUGUUCCUCAAUCGGCCGAUCCCCGAGCCGAAACUGUGCCAUCAGCAAAUCUUCAAAUUGAGGUAAAGAACAUACUCUUCACUUAAUCUCCAUAACUAUUUCAACUAAAAUCGGUUGAUUCUUGGCACAGGAUGCUCCAGACACAUCGAUCGUUCCCCUUGAGCGACUAUCAACAGAGGUGAGAAAACCAAGACUCACACUUAGAUCUAGUAUUCUUUUAUACUCACAAAUGCUUCCCUUUCCCUUCUCCAGGAGGCUGGUCCAAGCACACUACCGGCUACUACUAGAGAGCCGAUUAUUGUCGAAUCUUCUCCCUCUGAUGAACUACCUCCGCCGAUUCCUUAGACGGGAGCAGCAAUUCUACCAACCCAGGCAGAAGAGAUUCGUUUUAAUGAGGUAAGAACCUUCUAUCUUUACCAGCCGAUUCCUUACUUCUGUCGGCUAAAAUGUUUUCCGACAUCUCUGUCGGAGCAGAAUACACCAAACAACAGCCUCUUCUCUUUUGCAGUUGCGGUCUCUGAUGAUGAAGAAGUCGCAUCGCGCCAGAUAACUCUGAGCUCAAUACUAGAAGAUGUCCAUGCCAAGCUCCAAAACAUGCGAACCCUUCUUCAGGAAAACGUUGGCCGAUUGGUGGAAGAUGCCGAACCGAUACGGCAGAUUUUCAACGAGAUCAAAGGCCAAGUCCCAGAAGACGCAGAAGAGGCUCUCACACCCGCAGCAUACAUCGAAACCAUGUGGGUUCUAGUGUUUAGAGCCUUGCGACACAUGGCCAACCGUGCUAAACUGGAGAAGGUGUGUCAAGAAGAAGAAUCUUACAAGCACCAUGCACAAGAGGUACACCAGCGGAUCGGCAUGCUCGAUACCUCCCGUCCGAGCAUCUUCAAUGUAAUAGACUGGCUCAAACGGCUCAGAGCAGAACUUGCCAAAGAGAUGGAACAAGUCGUGAAAGCUAUCGCUACCGAAGAAAAGAAGCUCGAAGAUCUUCCAACUGUCAUCGCUGAUUUGAAACAAGAAAGACAAUCCCUCACUCAUGAGGCCAUCCAUCUCUAUUGUAAUGUGCCGGAAGUCCCAGAAUCGGCCGAUGACAAUCGGUGAGUAUUGGAUGCAGCCGACCAGGUUCGCCUGCAAGCAAUCGAGGCCAUAAACAACCUCCUCAGAUAGUUGUACUAAACUCAAACAACCUUUGAAUAUCUUGUAUAACGUUGAUACUUUUGGCAUGUCUAUCUUGAAUGCAAAUCUGAACGUUUCGCCCGCAGCUUUUUGACCCAACGGUUACUUUCUUUAAAUGCCCUCCUUUUACUAACCGUUGUCCAUCACCAUUUUGUCCUAUAAAUAUGAAUUCCUCACAUCCCUUCCGAAGGCACUCACACAACACCCAUUAACUCGUUCCCUGUACACACUUCCAAGUCUUCGAUCGGGCGACCAAGAUGGCUUCAUCCUCUUCUGUCAAUCAGGUACAAAGUUAACUCUCUCCCUUUUCGAUUGAUUUUUCUGUCAAUUAACCAUCCAUUACUCUCGCAGCCAAACCGGUUCAGCCCGGUCUUGAAUGAGCCAUCGAGAUCAUGCACUCCGAUGAACCGCUCACUCAGGCUGACAAAGAUCUGAUCCAAAAUCAUCGUGAGGAACUCAGAGAUCACCUUCCCACGAAUAUCAAGAGGAUUGUAGACGACAUCGAGACCAAAGCCUCUAAAAGGCAAACUUGGCAACCAGUUGAAAGGAGCCAUCAACUGCCUCGUCAAGUUGCCCUUGAAGACGAUAUGGUAGAAGUGGAGGAGAAGAACGCCCGUCUUCAGAUCUAAUUGGAUCGACUUCAGAAAGAGAUUGACAUGAAUAAAGCUCAACUGAAAUGCCGUUGAAUCAUUGUAACUUAUGAUUGUGUUGGUACUUUUUUAUCUGAGGGCGACUUGUACUAUGUCGGCCAUGUAUCCAGUUGAUGUACCGAAUAAUGAUCGGUUUAUUCAUAUAAAUCCUUCCUCGUCUCCUUCAACCUUAAGGCGAUGCCCCUUGCAUCGGCUAUAUGAACAUGACUCAGAAAGCGUCGGCCGUGAAAGCCUGAUAUGCCACAUUAUUGGCUAAGCGUCUACCAAUAUACUAGGGUAGUAUCUAGUAUUUUUCAUUUUGUAUGUGUUAAUUUAAAUGAUCUAUGGGCGUGAAUUUCCAUUUUUUUUUUGUUAUGGAACGUGUAAAUUGGAAGAUAUAUAAGCCCUUCUGCUAGGUUAUGUGCUGAUGUAACAUAUGCAAGUGCACAUGGUACAAUAGUUCUUAUUACAUGAUGGACAGUUGGAAUCAGCUACCUUGAAUAUGACCCAAUGUGCAAUGUGUUCAUGUGAUGUGGUUUGAUAUGAAUCCUGGCUUGAGAGAACCAAGAUGCAUUUGACCAACAAUUACUCUAUUACUCUUAAAAAAAUGCUUUCUUAUGAGUAUACUUUUGUACCACAAAUGAAAUAUUAAUAGAGUAAAUCUUGGACAAAGCCUUUUCCUUAAUGAAAUGAAAUACGCCCUACAAUUUCAAAUGGAGGGGAGUAUCUUUUUCUCUCCAUGUGCUUUAGUAAUUCCCAUGUUUCCAUAAUUUUUAUCUGGGGAAGCUUGUCAAGAUUCUGUACUGUCCAUUUUAUUGUGAGGACUUUUUGUUGAAACAAUAUUAGGAUUUUUUUUCAAGAACAUGAUGCAUGUGUCAGCUUUUAUUUCCUUCAGUUACAUAUCAUUUUCCGCUACUGACGCUCUUGUUUUUUUUGUGACAUGUAGGAUGUUAAUAGUGUAGCUGCAGAACAUUCAAGAGGCAGUGGACCUGUUGCUGAUGGAGUUGGUUCCUCAAAACAAACUCUGGCAAGUGUUCUUUUGUCUAGUUGAACAUCCAAUCCCAACUAAUCAAGAGUUCCAGGGGACUUGCUCAGAGUACUUACAGAUUCUAUACUGAAAGUCCCUAAGCACAGCUGCCGUUUCUCCUCUGUAUAUAGUGCUGUCUUGUACACUAGUCACUAACCAAAGCGUUUUUCUCUGGUUAUUAUUGUUUGCAGCCUAAUGAUGCAAGUCCAAUGGCCGUAGACGAACCAGGUGCUCAGAAAGUUGAAACAGAGAGCUCAAACAAAUUGCAGGACCAACCAACGAUGCACCAGAAGCCAUGAUCGGGCACCUUAACUUAGUACCUGAUGCCAUUGCAUCUGUAGCCUGUAGAUUCUUUUUGUUCAAGUUCGUUGACCGUAGACAAGCCGUGACAGUUGAAAAGCUUUAGCAGGGAGCGGAAACAAAUGCAAUUGGAACAGAUUAUGCAUCUGAACCCAUGAUAUUUUGAUUAUUACAUUUGAGUUUCUAACAUCUGCAAAUGAUAGUUUAUUUUCGUCAUGGAAACCUUAUCCUUAACCCCAAGCUGCUGCAAAGGAAUUGAUGUCGUCAUGAAAUAUGGUGUGGCCCAAAUAAGCAGUGUUUUUGACGUAGAUGGCACUUUUGGCACAUGUGAGUAUGUGACUUUGUAAUCUGUUGUAGCUAGGCGAAAGCUCUGUUGGUUGGAGUUGUCUUCUCUUCUCAUCCCUUGUGUAUGGGGAUGUCUCUAAUUGCCUGGAUAAGAGCUUGUGGUAGCCUAUUAAUUAGAAAACUAUUAUUUAACAAAUGCUAGUUUACUGAUGGGCCGCGGGUCACAGCUUGUCUUAUUUUACCCUCGAUUGCAUUAGAUGAAGUUGUGGCUUGCUGCGAUAGUGAUGAUGUGGUAAUUUCUUUCUUCUGUAUGCUGGCUUUGGAUUUUCGUAUGGGAAGGUGCAGGUCCCAUCCACUGAACGGAGAACGCAACAGGAGGGCAGAGGGACUGGUGAUGGAAGAUAUGGUUGUCAAAAUUUUGAUUCAGAUCUACAAUUUUACGACUUGAAGAUGUACUAGUUUGAUUGGACUAAUUUUUUAGAAGGUAGAAUACUCUAUGAUUUUACGAUUCUGUUAUGAUUCUACAACUUGCAAUCUUGUUGAGAGAGGCGUCAAAUUAAAAGUUGGUUUUUUGCGCCUAAGAUAUUCUACUCCCUCUGUCCUAAAUUACUAUAUUUGUUUUGACCUUCAUAUAUAUUAAUUUGGGACGGAAGAAGUUGGUGGCAUCUGAUUAAUGUUAUAGCCUGCCAUGGCAUAUUACUGCUCCACUUCAACAAACAUGAAGUUCGCUGCAAAGCAACUACCAAAACUUAAGUCAGUGAAUUAUUCCAUUCCCUAUCAAUAACUUCAUCGUUUACCAAUAAACAGCUAUCCAUUUUAUUUCAGAAUGAGGAGACAACGUCUUUCUUGUAUGUCAUGCAGAUGUUUCCGCGUUGAGUGAUAUCAGAAAUAUAUUUGUGAAUUAUCUCAUACUCCCUCCAUCCUGAAUUACUACUCGUUUUGACUUUUCUAGAUACAUAACUUUUGCUACGUAUCUAGACAUACAUAUAUAGAUACAUAUCAAACAUUUUGUAUCUACAAAAGUUAAAAUGAAUGUAAUUUGGGACGGAGGAAGUACUAACUAUGAACUGAACUAAUUUGUAACCUAAUAAUUUUGACUUGUACGGUCUACAUAAUUGCGUACACUACCGGAAACAGUAAAUUCGCUGAGUGUAAAAAUUUUGCCGAGUGCUUUCUUUCGGGCACUCGGCAAACAGCCUAUUUGCCGAGUGUAUUCAACGGGACACUCGGCAAACAUAUUACACUCGGCAAUAAGGUCGUUUGCCGAGUGCCAUAAAUAAGACACUCGGCAAACCGCUCAAAGACACUCGGCAAAGGUCCGACACUUGGUAAAAAACCGGCGCGUGCAUCGCACGUGCACCGUCCGUCACCGGACUGGGCCAGCUGUUAGUCGUUUGCCGAGUGUUGGACGCCGACACUCGGCAAAGAGGCCGUUCGCCGAGUGCCGCCCGCCCGCACUCGGCAAAAAAAGAAGUUCACCGAGUGCCCUCCAAGACACUCGGCCAACAUAUUACUUCGCCGAGUGCCUCACCUUGUACACUCGGCAAACACAAUACUUCGCCGAGUGUUUUAUUUUGCACUCGGCGAACGAAAAAAAAAUUCGUCCCCUGGCCUCCACACUUUUUCUACUCCCCACGUAGGAGAUUUUGUAAUCCAUAAUAAAAGUUGGUAUAUUUUGUGGUCUGUUUGCUAUUUUUAAUGAAAUGAUUGCAUUAAUAGGAAUGUUUUUUAUUCAUGUCAGAUUUUAACUGCAGGUACAUGAAAUAAUGGAUUAUAAUCAGUGGAAAAAUUAUAUCCAUAUUAUGGAGUCCGGAUUGAGGUCUCAACCAGGAAAUGAAAAGAAAUUUUGAACAUUGUUUUUAAAAAACACGACCACGAACGUGUGGUUGAAUGGUUGUUAAAUUCUAAAAAAAGCAAACGAAAUCUGAAAAUCACAAGAUUUGUCAAGAUGUCAUGAUAUUAUGUGUGGAGGCUGUGGUAAAAAAUUGAGAAGGUUUCUCCCAAAUUCUGGCAUAUGAUGCUUAGAAGCCGACUCAUCUUUUGGAAGGAUUCAUAGAAGUUAGAGAGGACACAAUGAGAUUUGUAGUCCAAGUGACACUUGAGUUAAGGUUUGGGGUCAAAUCUUUUUGUAUAGGCAACAUACAACACAGAUUGGUUCGUGUCAAAAUUUUGGAAUUUUUCGGAUGCGUUUACUAUUUUUUAUUGAUUAAAUGCAAUUACAUAUUUUUAUUAGAUAUAAAUGCAAUUUGCUCUAUAACUGCAUGAAAUAAUAGAACAUUAUCAGUAGAAAAAUAAUUUAACCAUUGUUGAGUGAUGUUGACACGAUUUUGCCCAAGUAUAUUAGAAAAAGUUCAGUAAAAUACGUCAUUUCAUGUACACUUUGCCGAGUGUCUAUAGAAAACACUCGGCAAAGAUAAUAUUUUGCCGAGUGUAUACGAGAACUUGUGAAUGUUAUUUGUGUGCUUGUGAUGCUUGUGGUGCAAUUUAUAUGCCUGUGGUGUAAUUUAUAUGCCUGUGCUUUUCUGGUUGUUUUUUGAGAGGGGUCUUUUAUACGUAACAUUUCUGUUUUUGCAGUAGGGGGAUGGAUACUAAAGAGGACAUUUUCUGUUAGUUCGACGGCUUUGCCGAGUGCAUUGCCAAAACACUCGGCAAAGGUGUCAUAAAAUUUUUGCGGGACUGGCCUCUUUGCCGAGUGCCAAGAGGAAGGUACUCGGCAAACUAUGUUUGUUUGCGGAGUGCCACUGGAAAACACUCGGCAAACGGCUCAAAAAAAUCUGUCGGGUGGGGCCUCUUUGCCGAGUGCCACGGGGAAGGCACUCGGCAAACCAUGUACCUUCACCGAGUGCCUUAUGGAAAUACACUCGGCAAAGAUUUUCUUUUUGCCGAGUGUCAUUUAAAAUACACUCGGCAAAACAAAAGUUAUCGCCGUUACCGUCAUAGACCGUUAUCGCCUUUGUGCCGAGUGUUAUCUUUUGCCGAGUGUUUUCUGGCACUCGGCAAACACACUGUUUGCCGAGAGAAAGUUUGCCGAGUAGGGUUCGCCGAGUGUUACACUCAGCAAACCCUUUGCCGAGUGUAUUUGGACCUUCGCCGAGUGCUUGGGGCACUCGGCAAAGUUACUGUUUCCGGUGGUGGUAGCUGCUCUUCACAUGUCGCGCGUCGUCAAAUCCCGAAGGGCUCCAAAAGAAAACCCGUGACACAUCCCCUGCUGCUUACAUUAACAUGAUCCGUUGAUUUCUCCACUGGGAUGUUUAUGGGUACGGCAAGUACGGACCGUGAGGUCUCGGAGGACCAGUUCCUAACGCACGCGUGUAGGAUUGACCACGAGCUUGGCACUGUUCGUUGCACGCAGGAUGGUCGGGGUCCAAAGCUCCGCCGGAACCUAGCCCUGGAAAUUAAUCAGGAGUACGUGUAUAUAUACAGUAUUCAAGUAAUUUCCUUGGUAGUCAGGUCUAUCCGUCUAUGAACCUAUGGUCCAAUAAUCUAUAUUGAAAGAUGCCACGGGAUGAUGAGGAAAUUAAACGAGCAGUUUAGAGUAGUAGCUAACCAACGCCACGGAUUCCAUGGCAGAUGGAGCUGGGCAUGAUCACCGUGGAGACGACGAGCAGUGCGAGCACGAGGAAACGGGCGGUUUUGGUGGAGGACGCCAUCGCGCGUGCUUUGGCUCGCAGCGAGCUGUUUGCCCCUGGUUGGGUUUAUUUCCUGUGAAUUGGAGCUAUGCUAGCUGCUGUUGCUUGCUCGAGCACUAUGAACAUGGAGGCCGUAUUUAUAGGCAUCAAUGUUAUCAUACGGCCGGCCUGAUAGAGAAAGAAAGGCAAAAUAUUUCUAUGAUGAUCCAGCGAGCGGAGCCACCGGUAAUUUCAGUGCAAGGUGACACAGCGAGCAUGCCACGCACUAUGCCAGCGUGCGUUGUAACUUUUCACUCCGGAAGGAUGUCCAUGCACGCGUCGAGGAGGUCUCCGGCCGGUUAGUCAAGAUUCGCCGUAUCGCCACCGUGCGAGACCAGCAAAGGAAACCAGCAUGGGUGGAGUCGACCAAGCGACGACGUAGAGCUAUGGAACAUUGUCGUCGCUCUUCAGAGUGCGGCUGCGGCACGAUGAGCAACAGCGACCUUGCUCCUCCUGGCACGGCGGAUCAAAAUAUAUAGCACCGCUACCUUCAUAUCGUCUACUAGAAAAAUAACCUCUCGUCCCAAGACUUAGUACCCAUUAUAUUUGAAACAUAUGGUUGUCAAAAUUUUGAUUCAGAUCUACAAUUUUACAACUUGAAGAUGUACUAGUUUGAUUGGACUAAUUUUUUAGAAGGUAGAAUACUCUAUGAUUUUACGAUUAUGUUAUGAUUCUACAACUUGCAAUCUCAGAGGUCUCAAAUUAAAAGUUGGUUUUUUGCCAAAAUAUUCUACUCCCUCCGUCCCAAAUUACUAUUCGUAUUGGCUUUUUCUAGAUACAUAUCUUUUGCUAUGUAUCUAGACAUUAUAUAUAUCUAGAUGCAUAGAAAAAUUUUGUAUCUAGAAAGGCCAAAAUGAAUAGUAAUUUAGAAAGGAAGGAGUAGGUGGUAUCUGAUUAAUGUUACAGCACUAUCUACUGGGUCUGGGAGUAGCCGUUGCAUAUUACUGCUCCACUUCAACAAACAUGAAGUUCGCUGCAAAGCAACUACCAAAACUUAAGUCAGUGAAUUAUUCCAUACCCUAUCAAUAACUUCAUCGUUUAACCAAUAAACAGCUAUCCAUUUUAUUUCAGAAUGAAGGAGAUAACAUCUUUCUUGUAUGUCACGUAGAUGUUUUCACAUUAAGUGAUAUCAGAAAUAUAUUUGUGAAUUGUCUCGUACUCCCUCCGUCCUAAAUUACUAUUCAUUUUGACUUUUCUAGAUACAUAACUUUUACUACAUAUCUAGAUAUGCAUACAUCUAAAUCUACUAGGUAAAACUACGACGUUAUUACAGAGUGAAUUAGAUAUGAUGAGAUAUUGUUUUCGUGCUGCAACUAGGCUUCCCAAGAAUCACUCCGAAGUGGUGGAAUCUUGAUCGAUGUGCUAUGUUCCACUAUGGCAUGCCGCUUCUUGACCGGGAUCACACUGACACAUCGAUGCAUUAUUCUUUAUUGUGUUUGUAAGUAGUUAUUAGCAGUAGCUCUAUUCCAAAGGCCUAUCAAACAAUACCCCUCAGCUAGCUAUAAAAUUGGAAAUUUGGAACCCAUCCGUCCAAUACAAGGGAACCUUAGUUUGUCCUAAUUAAGUCACAUUAUGAAAAUAUAUUUCAAAACAAAUAUAAUUAUACUCAUUUGAUAUUGUAAAUAUACUAUCAUUUCUUUUCUAUAAGUAGUAUUGCAUCUAACUAAACAAUAUUGUUCAAAUUCAUAAUAAUAUAUAGUUUUGUUUCACAAUGGCUGUCGUGAUAACUAGUAGAGAGAGCUUUCCUGAAGACUACCCCACCCACACCAAAAGUCUCAGCGAAUGUUCAGAACUUCAGAAGAUCUACCUGUUCAAUAACAAAUUAUCUGGAAUCAUCCCAGACGGGUUAGGUACACUCUCCAACCUAUCAGUUUUAUUUCUCGCCAACAACAAUCUAACUGGCGGUGUUCCUCUUUCACUCGGGAGCAAUUCAUUUAUCAGGACUGUCAUUCUCAUAAACAACACGCUAACCGGAGGCAUCCCACCUCUCCUUGCAAACAGUUCAUCACUUCAAUUGCUAGAUUUAACAAACAAUCAUCUCAGUGGGGAGAUUCCUUCUGCUCUUUUUAAUAGCUCAUCAAUUGUAAUAUUAGCCCUUGGGGUUAAUAACUUCGUUGGAUCUAUCCCGCCACUUGUGCAUACCUCGUCACCACUAGAGAUUCUAAUCCUAUCAGAAAACAAUCUCUCAGGUAGCAUACCUACCUCUCUAGGAAACUUUUCCUCUCUGACAUGGCUUUUGCUUUCGCAGAACAGCAUCAAAGGAGCCAUUCCAUCGAGUUUAAGCAUUAUUCCUACAAUAGAACAAUUAGACCUGAGUUUCAACAACCUGUCUGGGGACUGUUCCAGCUUCUCUUUACAACAUAACAACGCUGACAUACCUUAACAUGGGCAUGAAUAGCCUCAUUGGGGAAAUUCCAAAUAACAUAGGACAUACCCUACCAAAUAUUCAAACACUGAUUUUGCAAGGAAAUAAACUUAGAGGUCAAAUCCCCGCAUCCCUAGCCCUCGCAGCAAAUAUUCAAGUGAUAAAUCUCUGUGACAAUGCAUUCAGUGGAAUUGUUCCCUCCUUUAGGAACCUUCCCUACCUUACUGAACUGAAUCUAGGGAUAAAUCAACUCGAAGCCGGAGAUUGGUCUUUCUUAUCCUCAUUGAGAAAUUGCGACCAGUUGGUUUACCUAUGCCUAGGCAGGAACAUCCUUAAAGGAACACUACCAAGUUCCAUUGGGGACCUUCCAAGGAGUUUACAAGUAUUAUUGUUAACAGCAAAUAAAAUAUCUGGAGCCAUACCAAAGGAGAUUGAGCAACUCAAAAACCUUACACUUCUUUACAUGGAACAUCAUUUACUUACUGGAAAUCUACCAGACUCAAUUGGAAACCUUCCAAACUUGUUUGUCCUUAGCUUAUCCCAAAACAAACUUUCUGGACAAGUACCUCUGUCCAUUGGUAAUCUCAGUCAACUCAGUGAGCUUAACUUACACGAAAAUAAUUUCAGUGGUUCAAAUCCCAAAAGCUUUAGGAUACUGCAAACAUUUGGAAGCACUGAACCUCUCCCAUAAUAGCUUCAGUGGUAGCAUACCGAAGGAGCACUUUACUCUUACCUCGCUUGCGGAAGGUUUUGAUUUGUGUCACAACAAACUGUCUGGAGAAAUACCACUGGAGAUUGCCGGCUUGAUAAACCUCAAGUCCCUGAAUAUUUCCUAUAACCAGUUGAGUGGAAUAAUCCCCUAAACUCUGGGACAUUGCAUGCACUUGGAGUCCAUCCACAUGGAAGGGAACCUUCUACAUGGGACAAUCCCUGAAUCUUUCACUAACUUAAGAGGCGUCAGUGAGAUGGAUCUUUCUCUCAAUAAUCUGUCUGGUGAAAUCCCUGAAUUCUUUGAGUCCUUCACAUCUAUGAAGCUUCUGAAUUUGUCAUUCAACAACCUUGAGGGACCAGUACCAACAGGUGGGAUAUUUCAGAACACAGGAGUGGUGUUUAUUCAAGGUAAUAAGUUGCUAUGCGCCAGCAUCCCUUUGCUACAGCUGCCACAGUGCAAUACAGAGGCAUCCAAAAAAUGGCAAGCCUCUGUUAUUCUGAAGAUAGUAGGAUUUACUGCUCUUUGUUUGGUCUUGCUAUCAUGGUUUGCCGUUGUUCUUUUGAAGAAGAGAAAGAAAGUUACACAAUCAUCUCAUCCAUCCUCCAAGGAGUUGAUGCAGUGCUCAUACCCUGAUUUAGUCAAAGCUACAAAUGAUUUCUCUUUAGCCAACUUGGUUGGCUCAGGAAAAUCUGGAUCAGUCUACAAAGGUAGAUUUGAGUUUGAAGAACAUACAGUUGCAAUCAAGGUUUUCAAACUUGACCAACUUGGCAUACCAAAGAGCUUCAUUGCUGAGUGCAAGACAUUGAGGAACACUCGCCAUCGUAAUCUUCUAAGGGUGAUAACUGCAUGCUCAACAUUUGAUACAAUAGGAAAUGAGUUCAAAGCUCUCAUUCUUGAAUAUAUGCCUAAUGGUAGCCUAGAGGGCUGGCUCUAUCCUAAUCUGGACAAGUAUGGAUUGAAAAGACCAUUGAGUUUGGGCUCCAGAAUAACAAUAGUCACGGACAUAGCUUCUGCUUUGGAUUAUCUGCACAAUCAUUGUGUGCCCCCUGUGGUCCAUUGUGAUUUAAAGCCCAGCAAUAUCCUUCUUGAUGAUGUCAUGGGUGCACGUCUUGCUGACUUCGGGUUAGCUAAGUUUAUUCUUAGCUUUAGUCAUUCAUGCCAUCAUAGUUCUACAAGCUUAUUGGGACCAAGAGGAUCAAUUGGAUACAUUGCACCAGGUGAAAACAUUUCCUACAAAAACUGGAGAUUUUAAAUAUCACAACCGUUUUGUCUAUUUUUUAUUAUUCAUGUUUUACAUUUCCACUAUUUGAUAAUGUUCUUUUAUUUUUUUUGUCGGUAUUAAGAGAUAAAAAAUUGUUUGACCAAUUACACAUAUAUUACAGAGUACGGCUUCGGGAGCAAACUCUCAACUGAAGGCAAUGUCUACAGCUAUGGAAUUAUCAUCUUAGAAAUUCUCACAGGGAAGCAUCCAACAGAUGGGAUGUUUACUAAUGGUUUGAACCUUCACAAGUAUGUGGAAAAGGCAUUCCCUCAAAAGAUUGCUGAAGUUCUAGAUCCUUGUAUUGUCCCAAGUUCUGAAGAUGGUGAUGCGGACAACAUUUUGACCAUGGAAAUAAUGCAACAGAUGGGGUGGAUAGCUGCAUCUUGCAUCUCGUUAAACUCGGUCUUUUGUGCUCUAUGGAGACACCAAAUGAUCGACCAACAAUGCAGGAUGUUUAUGCUGAAGCCAUCACAAUCAAAGAAGCAUUUGCAGUGCUACAUGGUUGAGCAAAAAGUACUGUUAUUUUUGUUGUUCACAUACUAGUAGAGCAUAAUGGGCUUAAGAAUCAUUUACUUUGUGGUUGUGGGUCAGGUCUUCCAUUUCGCUACUGUGUUUGUGUUUGUCAUGUAUCAGAACUAUUAAACAAGUAAUGAAAUAAAGUUCGCCACAGGAACUACAUUACCUUUGUUUUUGUUACAUUGUCUAAUUGAUGCAAGUUCCGUAAUAGCAUUCUACUACUUUGACACCCAGUUGAGCGCAACAAUAUAGAAACUAGUCAGAAUCGUGCAAGGCCAAAUUAUUUUUGAUGAAAUAUGGAUUUCUCCUCGGUAAAAAAAAUGGGAGGAUAAUUGGGUCUCUAUAUUUUGUAAUAACGAGGAAAAAAUAUUUUUUUAAUCGUGACAGUUUAUACAAAAUAGGGUCAAGAGGGCCUGCUAGACGUACCUCUUGCUUCAAUCAACGGGCAAAGGUCUGAUUCUCAGUUCAAGUGUCCAACAUAAAACCAUAGACCAAAUUACCAACUGUACUAAUUAUUCAGAUAAGAGUAAUAGGCCCAAACAAUCGAUAAGCCGCGGAAUUGAAGAAUGCAAAAUUCCACAGGGAGAGGGCUCGUGAGCUGCAAGAAGGGAGGUGACUUACUGGCCACAUGGCACCCAGCCCGGCGGCCGGUGCUAAUCGUGUGCACGAGGUUACUCAAAAAUCCUCAUCUGGUUUAUCAACAUCGUGCCUUCGUUCCGCAGGUCGUUGGCUCCCAGAACCAGGGACCCAAGGCGGGGGGUAGCAAUGUAGGACGCGCCGCCAAGGCUCCAACGACAGCUGCUGCACCUCCGUCCUCCGCCCGACGGCCUGCGCCGCCGCUCGCCGCUGCCUCGUUGGCUCGUUGGCGUUGCAGCCGUUGUGGGUCGGCGAUGUGCGGAGGAGUCUUUUGAGUGGUGGUGAUGUUUUUCGGCCCUAGGGAAUAAAUGGGCAUUGAAGGGCCUUCUAUGGUCUUUAGCGUGCACCAAGGUCGAAUUGACUUCUGACAUUUACUUUGUAUUUAUUUCAAUGUAUCUGUCUGCAUUUUUUUUACAAGUUAUUAUCUGCAUUGACAGUGACCAUGAGCUUGCUCACCUUCCUGGUCGCUGCAUUCUCAGUCACACGCAGCUGCGACGCUGCCACUAAUGAAUGUGCGUUGCAAUUCAAAAGUUUCAGUAGCAGUGCUUAUCUGUAUCUGUUUCUCUUGAGACAAACAAUGUCCAGAAAUGCUUUACAUAAGGCAUUACAAAGGAAAACGCCGGUUAUAUAACUUGACCAAAUUAAUUUCACAUCCUCGUCACUCUUGCAUUUUCUGCCUAAAAAUUAAUUCCGCUUCAAGCCACUAUUAUACAAACAUGGGCCUUAACAGGAGAUGUUCACUCAAAAGAGGCCACCUGAAUGUGAUUAUAUGCAGGAGCUCAACCUUCAGAGGCACGCAUUGACAGAAACAGAGGAUAGGCAGGGGAAAGACCAUCCACAUCAAACAGCAUCUCAGAAAUGAAAACUGACGGCAUCACUUCACUUCCGCGAUUAGGAACUUUGUGCUGACUCACCUCUUUGAACCGGUGGAUACGUGAUUGGCUCAUUCUUUUACUAUUCUUGUACUCCGGCCGUCCCGCGUAUUCUGCACUUACCGGUGUUCAAGUUCAAGUUAGCCGAUGACUUAUAUCGUGUGCAGCAGGGAUUAGAUUUUGACUAUCAAGUAUGUCCAGAAUGGAGCAAUGCUGGACCUCAAGCAUCUUAACCUCAGUAGCAACUUCAUCGGCGAGGAGAUCUUCGACCUUGGAGGUAAGGUGCGAUACAGGCGCAUCCAUCGGCAGCGUACCUCACUGGCACCAUCCCUACAGAGGCUAUCUGUGCUGGGCCAGCGAUGACCACAGGUGAGAUCCCAGCAGAUAAUAGUCAUCCUGAGUAACCUGGCAGAGUCGCAGGCUGUACCUUGGCGACAAGCCUCUACAACUUUUUGAAAGCCCAGUUCCUGCUUCCCUUGGGAACCUCUCAUCCCUAGCAGUCUUGAUUGAGUCUUGGAUCUACAUGAGCAGGUUAACAGGCAAUUUUCCAUCCUAAUCUUCCUCAGUGUUCUUUCUGCCAAGAAAAAAACUACAUCACAGGCUGAUUCCCGGAAGAACUAGUAGGCUCCAUGCUCCCAUUGACCUAUACGCAAACUUGAAACUUCAAUCAACUUGAGGGGUUUAUAGCUUCAUCACUGUACAUCAUCUUGUCUCUGACAAAUCAUAUCUGCCCUACAGUUCAACAAUCUCAGCAGGCUUCUUCCCAUUGUUGACCGGGCUAACAAGUUCCCCAUGCUCCAGGGUCUCCUGGUAGUAGAUGACAAUCACUUUCCUGGUAAUCUUUUAACACUUGCAAGUAACUGGAAGACCACAAUUUGUUUUCUGGAGCGGUACCCAUAUGCCACGAAUUAACCUCAGACCAGGAUUUGUAGUCACUCGGUACAAAUAAGCUAGAAGCAAUAGAGCUACAGGGAAUAAGAGACAUGUACAGUAAUCACCUAUUAACUCAAGGAACAUGGAGAUCAUCUUGUGUUUCGAGCUCUUCUCCAUUUAAAAUUGAGGCUCCUUCAUGCAUUCAGUAGCAAGCAGCUGUUUACGCAACUUAAUUGUCAACCAGAUCAAUGUUUGGAACAUGAAGUGCCCAUUGCACCCCUACAAAUAAGAUCGCUUGAUUUCGGAAAUUGUUUGCAUCAAACAGUUCAGGAUUAUCACAAGGGUGACAAAAAAAAAAAGGAUCAUUGUCCAUGCAAUUGGAUCAGAAGUACAAUAAAAGAGCUUCAGCUUUCAGUUCAUUUUGCAGAAGUAACUUUACAUAUAGAUAGUAGGGAACAUUUGUAUUAUCAUGAGCCAGUCUGAACAUAUCACUUCAAUAAAUUUUCAAAUCUUCCUACAUUUAAAACAGAUGUGAAUUAUGAAUGGCUGAUCAAUGACCAAAUGUCAAGCAGAAGUUUAGACAGCUGUAAGCUAACCAGGCUCAUAGAAGAUGAAGGAUUACAAGGAAGUCGCAGUUCCAUACUUGCUGUGAGAGUUCAAUAGCACGUGGUAGAUUGGAUCUUGAUAUGAUACUUGGAAAAGUUGGAGAGCAAUGUAGCCGCAUGUUGUGAUGCUAUAGCACAGAAGGAUAAAAAGGAUAAGGGUUCUUAAAUUACGUAAAUAAAAUCAUCAAUAUGAAUCACAACUUUGGAUGUCAAUAUACUCAUAAGAGUGCACCAUAACUGUAAAAGGAAAUACAUCUAUAUGUAUCCCAAAUACACAAGUCUUCCUUCAUAAACUUCACACGAUGGGGUUACAGCAACUUUACAUAUUGUAGAUCAUGUAACUUAUGGCGGUAUAUAUUCUUUCAAGUAGGAAAACACCACCCCCAUAUGAAUCACGCAUAGUCCCAAGGUCAGCUACUACUGGGGAGAAGCAUUAGAUAUUCCAAUGCUUAAGUAUGAAAUGUACACAUAUAGGUAUAUAGCAAGUUAAUUACAGUAUUAGGUGAUAUAGAUUCCUAGGUACACCUUAUGUUAAGAUUUACAAGCAGAAGUAUUCCACAAUCCCCUGAUGCAGGCAUGAGACCCGAAAGAAGCAGUUGCACAACAAUUACUAGUAUUUAUUGUUCACGCAUGACUUGGCUACUUGGCUAAGUAUUGCAGUAAAAUCAGCACACAACAAAUGGAUUUUGUGUAAAAAUAGUGGUAAGAUGCUGAUGUUUGGGGCCUCAAAAAGAUUCAUAUACCUUCCAAAGCAUAUCAACAAGACAAUCCAAAUGGUAGUUGAUAUCCAAGACGAUUCCUUGUGAGCAACCCAAACCUGCAGGCUUAUUAUCACGAUUAAGUAACCAUCUUCACCAAGUAAGACUUCGGAAAUUAGUAGGCAAGUCAAAUAUAAUAACCAUCGAAGUACUAAAAACAAUUGUUGCUGCACAUUUUAUACAAGGGUCUAAAAGAGAUAGAAGUAAUGUGCAGAUCAGGGUAUCCACUGGAAAUAUUAUGAGGAAAUUAAAUUGAUUAUGUUUCCACUGAAAUGGCAUGCUCCAAAUGUUUGAGAUAAAAUUAUAACAUCUUGGCAUGAUCAAAGCUCAGAAAAUUUCAAACAGAAAGUUCAGGAACUAGUUACAGAAAAGGGAUCUCCAUUCUUCGGACAAACUAAUAAUAACAGUAAAUUUUCACAUUAUGUUCAUAUAAACAAACUAAUGUCUUUUAGAUAAUUAGUUUAAACAAAUACUAAAAGAUGAAGGAGGGCAUAUUUAGUGCAAAGCAUGAACUAGUUGCAAUAAAGCAACCUACGUAGGUCUAAGCACUGAAUCAACACCGAAAAAACCUUUAGACUCUAAAGAAUGUUUUUUCCUCGAACUACGCAGGAGAGCUGCGUGUCAUUCCAAUAAGAAACUCUACAGAAUGUUGGACUCUAACACCUUUAGCUUUAGAAGUUCAAGAUAAAAUCUGAACAAUUAUAGUAAUAUUAUUUGUUUUAUUUUAUAAUUUCUUUCUAUUUAUAAUUCCUCGGGGAUUUCUCUUUGUGUUUCUCCUGACACACAUUAAUUGGGAAGUUGACAUUUUGAGUGGAGAUAUGUUCCGAUUAACAACUGCACUUGCAAGGUUUUUUCAUUAAUGAUGAUUAGGUGCUCGGCUCCAAAAAGUUUGCAUGAUUGCAUCUAUUACAUGGUUUGUACUAAAUACAUGCCCAAGUUCAAGAUAUCUUACCGAUAUUGCAAAGACAUUUAUGUAGAAAUCAAUUAAGGUUGCCGCCAUCCACCUAAGUGCACAGUAGAAACAGUGAACUUUAGAUUUCUAUUUGAUAAAGGAAACUUUCAGUUUUAGUUCACAUGAUGAACAAAAUAUAUUUAGUUGACAAUCUAAAUUGUCAAAUGAAUUAAAUAUUUACACAACAUUUUUCACAAAUGUCAACAAUGUUAACAGAUGGAUACUUAAAAUAAUAGCUCUCUUUUGACAAGGGAUUAAAUUGCACAGGCAGUUGCUAACUUGUUGAAUUUUCCAAAGCUACAUGUAAUUGAUUCAACUCAUCACAACUUGACAAGCAGAAAUAUAAUAUGUCACGACCACCCUUUGCCAUGACCUGCAAUCGCUGCAGCAGGAGAUGGCGGGGAGGGGCAACUGUGGCCAAGGUUGAAGUGGUGGUGACUGGUGACUGGUGAGUGUAGGGGAGACUGAGGCUAUCAAAUCGGUGCAGGGGACAUAGAUAUAUGGUCCCUACUAGUCAGAUUACAAAGCAUUUAACAGGAUUCAACAGAGAUGGAUUUUUUUUUUAUCUUUUUGGCAAGGAGAUGGAGAUAGAGUUAACUAAAUGUUUGCCAAACUUAACUUAGACAUGUAAUUUUGACAAAACACCUAUUGCUUCAUGGAAUUUACUCAACACAAAAGUUUAGGAAUUAAAUCUUGACUGUAACUUCAGUGUACAGGCUUCUAGCAGGAUCCCCGCAUUUCAAGCUUGCUCUAUAUAUUUGGAAAGUUGAAAUCACAAGGGCUGCGAGUUAUUUCUCCUAAGCUGCUGCAAUCUUGCAUCUAAUUACUCUUUUUACACUUGUAUCCAUUACAUUGAGCUCAAUGGGCCUCAGAAACUAGCAAGGCAAUAAAGUAUGAAUUAUGAUGUAUUCACUUACGGUGUCAAUAAUUCCUUCCUAAAAGGAAGUCCAUCAGUGAUGACAGUAUAUGUGACAACGGCAGCCAUGAAUAUCCCCAAAAUGCUGAACAUAAUCCUUCCAAUUAUGACAUAAGAGCACUUUCUUUGGGACAGAUUACCCUGCCUGGAAAUGUUUUGAGAAUACAUGUCGAGACAAGUUAGCAUCGAUGUAAACAAAGAUGCAACUAACAGCCACUUUAUGCGAAAUAACAUUCCUUGGACAUCUCAAUACAUCAGCAAGAUCAGCUUGUGUGGUCAUAGGAGUGUGGCAGCAGGGAAUGUAGUAGAACACAGUUUGCUUUGUCAAUAUGUUACUCAACAUCUAGGAUGCAACUAAUCCUGAACUUUCAGUAUUUUAGUUAAUUAGCUGAUGAAGGCAUGGCAUAUUAAAUGGUUAAUUGUGUAUAAUUUGGUACUCUACCUGAUAAACAGAAGAUCAAGUGGAUCGUGAGAUGGCCCUCCAGGUGUCACUUCAAAAAGCUUUGUAACAAUAUAAGCACAAGUAGCAGCACUGAAAGAUUAAAAAAAAAAGAGAAGCAAAAAGGUGGAUACCAUCAAGUUGAUAGGAUUCAUCCAUUCAAACAAAAGCAUAGAAGCCUACAAAGAAGCCAUAAAACUAAAAGUUUUACAAAAUAUUAGAGAGAAGGAAUCAAAUACCUGCCAAAGCAAAACAACAGAACCACCCACACGGCAGAACUAAUCCAGUUUGCUUCCUUGUAGAUAACCCACGCCUGAAACACCAUGCAAGAAGCAUCUCUAACUUCAGUCAGAAAUUAAAUUUGACCUCUCCAUAAGCAGCCCCUUUACCAUCCAUGGGAGGUACCAAGAGAUACUAUUAAACUAUACCUUCAGAGGUAACAAAAUAUUUGAAGUAUUUUGGUACUUCCCCAGGUUAUAACUUGACAGUGUUUCUUGUUACCUCCAAAGGAUGGUAAAAAAGGUUCUUCCAGCAAACGUUUCCUCAUAAGGCGGUAAGCAUCACAGGUUUUCGGUAAAAAAAAACCAUGAUAAAAAAGUGACUGAUUAGGAAUUGAAGUCAGAAAAAUCAAGGCAUUACCGCAAUUGCAAUUACAUUCACAUAGAAAUCAAUCAGUGUUGCAUUCAUCCACCUACACACAAUAAAGAAAUACAAUUUGAAGUGAAUGUAUGGAUUUUGUGUACAUGUAAGCAUGUGAAAGAGUGAUGAUAUGACUACUCUCUGAUGUAACACAUAGUUCACUUGUCAAAAAAUGUGCCAAUUCUCUCAAGAACAAACUUCACUGUAUAUAGCAUGAUUCCAAACCAACUCUAAAAGUAACAUCUCUCAAGACUACUAUUUGCAGCACUGUCAAGCAAGCCUAAGUUUUCAUGAUAAGAUAUUGAUAACACACCAAUUCCACCUUACUUAUCAAGGAAAACGCAAACACAAGAAACAUUCUACACUCACUGUAUAUAGCAUGAUUCCAAACCAACUCUAAAAGUAACAUCUCUCAAGACUACUAUUUGCAGCACUGUCAAGCAAGCCUAAGUUUUCAUGAUAAGAUAUUGAUAACACACCAAUUCCACCUUACUUAUCAAGGAAAACGCAAACACAAGAAACAUUCUACACUUACGUGCUUAUAAAAAAUUGUCUUACACAAAUUUAUAAUCAACUAUGGUAAUAAGGUUCAGUUAACAAACUUCACUUCACAACAGAACACAUAUGGCUUUGCAAGUGCUACAUCAACAGUUCAUAACGUCUCCUGACAAUUUCACAAUGAUAAAUCCACCAAAAAUUUGCAACCAACCAGCAGGGAGCAUGCGAUUGACCCAUUACUUUUGCUAAUCAGCAGCCAAGAAAGUUGCCAUACACAACCCACAACCCUCACAAUGGCUACUUGAACACACGAACAUCCAAUUCAACAAAAUCGCAUUAGCUUCUCCUACCAAUCCGCAAGCAAGCACAUAACUGACGUAAGAAACUUACGACUUUGCCAAAGCUCGCCGCAGUAAUCACUAUCAAAUCCCCCACAAAAGCAUCAAAUCCCACGGAAGUUGGCGAGGAAAAAGAAAAUCAGUACUUACGGCGUAAGCAGCUCGGGGCGGAAAGGCGAGCCGUCGGUGGCGCAGGUGUACACCAGCGUGCCCACCAUCAGCAAUCCCAGCGCCGCGAACACCACCCUCCACGCGACUAGGGAUCCCUGCGCCGCCAUGAUCACCCCUCGAGAGGAAACGGCCCGCGGAUUUAGUGGGGGGCGAACAGUUGCCGGCGGAGACAAGUAAUAGGAGGAACGGGGAGUGGAUGGGACGCUGACACGUCGGCGCGGCGGAAGCGGAGGUGGGGGCGCGGCCACGUAGGCCGCGGGAGGCGCCGCCGCCGCAUCUCGCGACUUGGAAGUCGUGGAGGGCACCGAAGUUGCGGUUAGGAGUAGGCUUCUUGCGGGAGCCGAGUCGCCGGCGGCGACGGGCGGAGCCCCGCGAUGACGGCGGGGGAACGAAACGUGUGUGUGUGUAUGAGAAGAAAACGGGUUUCGCCCGGCGGGACAAGGAAAUGACGCCAUGGCCCAUUUGUUAGGUCCAAAGAAAACUGGGCGUCUUGCCGAAAAGAAAAGGAAACUGGGCCUAGUUCAAGGGACUGGGUACUAGAGGCCCACGAAAGAAACGGGCUGCAUAGGCCCGGAAAACCUGUCCAUCUUCCGAAGGUAGGAAGGUGUUUAACCUUCCGGUGUUUGAGAUUUGUGCGGUCCCUGUGGACCACACGAUCUCCUUCUUCCUCCCUCCACUCGCUCGGCCCUCCGUUACUCGACCAUAGCCGCCGCUACUCGUGCACGCCGACGAGAUGGUAGGGGAGGGUGGGAGGUGGGGGAGCGGCCGGUGGUGAGGUCGCUGCCAGUCGAGGUGGUGGUGGUGGCGGCGGCGAGGUUAGGGUAGGGUUAGGGUUCGGGAUUGUGGUGGGGAGGCUAGGUUAGGGUUAGGGUUCGGGGUUGUGGUGGGGACUCCAAUGGCCGGCGGCUGUAGAAGAGGAGGGGUGGAGGGCGGUGGUGGUGGGUUGGCUGACGGCAGAGGCGAGGCAACGCUGUUUGAUGAGCGGUGGGAUUAGGAAGGGUGGGGUCGACGGGGGUGAUGGUCGGUGGGGGGGUGGCGCGGCAGCCGCCGGCCGGGGUGGUGGAGGAGGCGGCGGCGGUGGUGGGAUCGCUGGGGAAGAAGGAAGGGAAGAGGUUAAUGGGCCAGAGUGGGCUGGAAGUUUCAACUCCUAUCUAUCUUCCACAAGAUAGAUAGGAGCCCCUGCAUAGGCCUCAGUUUUCUGUUUCUAUUCGCGUGCGAUUUAAUAAAUCCCUUUCGAAACGUCAGUGGACAAUCAUCUGAGAUACUAGUACGAUGUACCUCUUCUAUUGUUGUAUCAUUUGAAUUUUCUUUUUCCUAAAAGUAAUGUAACACCCAGAAUGCUCAAAGGAUAAAAUAUGCUUUGUAUAUUGGAAUACGUAAAGUUGAGGGUUAAAAGUUGACUUUUAGAUCUGUUGCUUGGAUGGACGAAUGGAGACCACGAUUGUGUAGAGCUCGUCGAAUCCAUUCUAUUUGAUCACUCAUAUAUUUUGUUUGGAAUUCAGAUCAUGAAGGUACGAACAUUGCUAUUUUAAGCGUGACUUACUGUAGCUAAGCCCACCCACCUAUUGCCGUGAGUCUCCUAUCUUUUUUUUCCCUUUUCUUUUCCAAUCUCAUCCCCAAUCUUUUUCUAAACCCUGCACCCCCUAAGUCUCGUACCCUGCACCGCCACCCUCCUUCUGACCGAGAUCCGUCAUCACCGUUCCUCUUCAAAAAUUGGUUGGACUUCCUUUCCUCUAUCCAUUUUCCCCCAAUUGAUUUUUCUUUCCUUGCUGUUUAUGGUGGUGCUACCAUGUGGGUUGCAAUUUAGGUGCAAUCGAUGGGGUUGCCAUGACACUCUUCGCUAGGGAGAGGUAAACGACCGGAAGUCAUCGUUGGGAUUGCCGCUGUUAUCGUUGCCCUUGCUGUUUUCAAGGAGAAACCCUAGGUGAGGCAUGCCCCGAUAUAAUCCUUAUUUUCCCUAAGGUUUCAGAUGUCCUGGCACGUGCUUUUAGCGGCAUUCGACAUCGAUAAGGGCUAGGUCAAAGUUUUGCCCUCCUCAUUAUUUUCAGCACGUAGUCAAUCUGCGUAAUUUUCAGCAAUAGUUGUUUUACAUCAUCUUAAUAGCUUAAAAAAUAUAUAAAAUCUAUAUAUGAGUUGUAGAAGGUUUUGCAGAGCUUUCCAUAGUCGUAAAGAACACUACAAUCAGAUUUAAGAGCUGAGAGAUAUUGAAGUUUGAUUCUAUCAGUUUUUCAGAGUCGUAAUUCUAAGCAGAAUUUGUUCACCUAAAGUUUAGGCAACCCAAAUCACAUAAUUGGAUCUGUGGAUGAGUAAGUAAGUUGUAGGAAAUUUUAUAAGCUUUUCAGAUUGGUUAAGUUCAUCUUCGUAUGAAUUUUGGAGCUCUAGAUAUACUUGUUUUACUAGGACUGUUCUGCAGUUGUUGUCAGAUUUUAUGUUUGAGGUUCAUCUCAAAAUUAGCCUAUGUUGAUGAUUUUUUCUCUAUCUAUAGAUCACUAUAAGUUGUAAGUUCUGAAGUUAUCCAUAUGGCACAAGAUGAGAAUUUUUAGCCAUCAGGAUUAAAAGAUAAAAAAAAAGCAAAAGCGCUGCUGUCGUGUCUGGAUUUGUGUGUCUUCUUUAGAAUUUCAGGUUCGUGCGUAGGAACGCUUUGAAUUAUGUUGUUUAUGCUUGUGUGUGUUGUGUUGGUGCUGAGUUAUGUUUGUGAACAUGUGGUUCACUUUCGGAUCGUGCUUAGCUCACGUUCUUGUCCUUCGGUGAAGGCAAAUAAAUGUAGCGAUAUUGUCAACAUGCUUUAACAUUGUUGUUUGAAUUGCCUCCAUUUAAUUUCAGUACCUCACACUAGCAAGAUGAAUCUGAAUUUUAUCUUUAUAUUGGAGUAUCUUGUUCCACUUGACGCUUUACUUUUGAAGUCAGGAAUUUUGAGGUAUAUGAAGUUCAUGCAUUGCAAUCUUGCAUUUGCAUUCUCAUGUUAUUUAUGCACAUGAAGAAAACCGUAGCCGGAUUGGUGCGGUAAGUAUAGGUACAGCAACGCACGUUGAGAUAUAGUAAUGUGGUUGCAGCCCUCACCUCCUUCCUUGGGGAUGUGUGGAUAGAAGUGAAGUCAUGCAUUACAUUGCACCAUUUGCAUGUUCAUUAUGAAGUAUUGUUGUGAAUACUCGAAGUUAUGUGGUACUUCUUUUUAUUAUAUUGACUCUUAAAUUGUGGCUUAAUAUAUUAUGAUUUAAAUGGUUUAGAAGCAGUUUGCUUGUUGAGGUUUUCCAUAAAUCUCAUACGCUUUUCCCCUCCACAGGUUCUUGAGUUUGGAGGGUGCUUGGUUGGAUGGGAGUAGCAGCACGUGUGCACACACUUCUUUAUAUAUAUAUGUAUGUAUGUAUGUAUGUAUGUAUGUAUUUUAGACACGUUGUAAUAAAAAAACAUUCGGUUGUGAAGUCUUUGCUUUGCUUAUAGUAUCAUAUUUGGAUCCAAUUUGUAAGAUGUUCUAUCUACAUGAUGAUUUAAGUUGCUUCCGUGUGCUCUAUUUAUUUAUCUUUGUUGUUGUUUUUUAUGUGUGUGCUGUAGUAGCUGUAGUGUAGUGUGAUAACAUUUCAGAAUGUUGCUACUAAAUUUACCUAAAUGUUUAUUACCCCGAAUUCCUCGUAUGGUGACAAUACAAGAGCAAGAAACAGUCAGUUUUCACUCCAAGUGUUUUCUCUGUCAAAUAAGCAAGAAUUUGGUGUUAUUUUCUGUCUCAGUCUGUCAUAUGAAGAAUCUGAUGUGAUCCUAAAACAAAAGGAAAAGUAUCUGAUGUGGACAUUUUUAACUGAUGAGCUGUAUUACUGUUAGAGUUAAUCUGGCCCUGGGGGCUGGAGGCCGUGGUGCCAUAUGCGCAACACGUCGGCAGCAAUCACUAGCAAAACGACGUUGCUGCUGCAGCAGUAGAGCAUGGUCAGGUAUCCAUCCGGGCAUCCGGCCCAAUCUGUUAGCACUCCGGGUUCUGACGCUGUCGAAGACGAUGCCGAUUCAAAAGAUCAAGCUCGUGGGCCGCGUCAGGGCACCAGGUCACGCCGGCCCAACUCGCGGGUUGCAGGAACAGAAUGGGCCUGAAGGUGUUGUGUGCGUGCACGGAGGUGGCGUGUGUGAGUUAUCGAUCUGUAAGCCAUAAAGGCAGGAGAGAACACAGAGAGAGGGCAUCUUGUAAUCUAAUCAACUCUGAACUGAAGAAGCUGACCUCGUCCACCUCCCUGUUCUUCCUCUCUGCUCUCUGCUUCUUCCCCAAAUUCCCUUCUAGAUCCGGUAUCCUAACACAAUCUUAGCAGCCUCUGCCAAGUAUUUACGCCCUCGAUCGGAUCGCUCGAUCGUCCUCGUCCCCGCAGCACCCAAUACGUUUUCCCGCACGUUCUCUGAAUCUCUUCUGCUUUCAAUUGCUCGUCGUUGAACUCAAGGAGAGGGCAGCAUCCCGAUGCUUCCAUGCGGUCGGCGGCGAUGACACCAGACCAGACAGCCGGCAAGCAUCAGUGCACGGCCGGUGAAGGCGGCGGGGGAUACGAUCCUAAUCUGGUGCUAGGAAAAAGAUAAGGAUUGCAGGCCAUUUUCGUCUGGAUGGAUACCGAUCGAGGCAUCGACGACACCCGGAUCAGUAUGCGGCGGCCAUGAUCGCUCUAUCCUGUGGGCUGUGGCUAGAGUCGGCUACGAUACUGGAUAGCCGUGUUUCCGCGAGCAGGAGCAUUCCUGGCUUCCUUCUACAAUCUUCUUCAGAGUUCAGACGUCAGUACAUAUGAACCCGAACGAAACAUCGCGGCUUCAGUUCUGACUUCUGAGGUCACUCUGAAAUCUGAAAGGAUGAUGCUCUGUUUGUUCGAUGCGCCGAUCGACCGAUGAUCCAUGGCUAUAGUGAACAGUGAAGCCAGCAAUUCAGAAAACCCAUGCAGGUUUCUUCAGUUGAAGUGUUUCCAUUCAACUUCGCAUUAGAAAUGGAGAGUGACAUUUCCUACCAAGAGUUGGAGAUCUUUGCCAAUUUAAGGUUUUUCUGUGUGUACAAGUCAAAUGAUAGACUAUAACUUAUUCCUACCCUAAACGAACAUUAGAGGUGGCAUCUCGCAGCCUCGCGGGUAUAAAAAGAAGGAUAAAAUGCAGUUGGAUCAUGAGAUCAACACAGCCAGCUGGAGGAAUCGGAGUGGGCCAGCAAGCGAAGCACACUGUCUUCCUACUAUCCAAAGCAAGCUUUCAGUACUGUCAGCAUCGAUCUUGUAAAUUAGAUUUCGCUUAGCAACAGCAUAAACCUGUUGAUUAGUCCAAAGUCAACUUCUUCCCCUGUCCAUAGAUGCUCUAAUCUAUGUGGUUUCCCAUAUAAUUGCUUAACGAUGCUGCUUGCUGCCGGUAGUUCAGGACCACCUGGAUUGUCUGCUGCCGACCUGAACAUGGCCUAGCGUUAUAAACAAGUUCAAUGCAGGCAUUAAUCUUUUAACUUACGAUUGGAUUGGCAUAUAAGUAAGACCAAAUUGAGUUGUCUCUCUCAACUACUGGACUGAACAUAGUAUUUUAAAAUGAAACCACUAGCAGGAGGAAUCAGAAUGAGCCAGCAGGCGAAGAAGGUUUAUUUUCUUCUCAUGAUCCAAGGAGUUUUCUGUAUUACUAGCAUCGAUCUUGUAAACCAACUCCUCUAAGAGACAAUCUAAUCUUGUCCAUUGAUCCUAGGUCAAUCACUUGACGUGUCUGUUGAUGCUCUAACCGACGUAUUUUAUUUUUCAUGCAGUUUCCUUCACGAUGCAACCGUUAGUUCAACAAUCCUUAAUUGCUGGAGCCGACCUGAACACGACCUAUCACUAUAAACAAAGUUGAGUACAAGUAGUAUUUGGAUCCAGAUAUAUUGAGUUGAGUGGGACCAAAUGAGUUGUCUUUCUCAGCUCGUUGACUGACCAUACCUACUCUCCGUUCCAAAUUAUUCCAAUUUUUUAAGAAUCAAACUAUUUUAUAUUUGACUAAAAUUAUAGAAAGAAUGAUAAAGAUUUAUGGCACCAAAUAGAUAUACUAUGAAAUUUUAUUUAAUGAAAGAAACUAAUGAUACUUGGUAUUAUUAUGAAUAUUAGUACUUUAUUGUAUAAAUUUGGUCAAACUUGAGAUGCUUUGACUCUCCAAGAAAGUUAGAAUAACUUAUAAUUUGAAACGAGGGAGUAUUUCGGAAGUAAAAAUGCUAUUUUUUUUAAAAAAUAAAUGGAUGGGAUGGUGGAAGCAUGUAUAUGCUCUGUACACCACUGGGAAAGGUCAUCUAGCACCUUAGUACUGAUUGGUUUUUGACCCGGUACUAAUGCUCACAUUAGUACCGAGUCUAACACGGAACCCCUUGUGACCCCCUAGUACCGGAUGGGAGCUCCACCCGGUACUAAAUGUCACCCAUUAGUACCGGGUGGAGUUACCAACGGUACUAAAGAGCUCCAUCCACCUUAUCCGUCCACUCCCCCGGCCCAUACCUGCUCCCCUCUCUCCUUAUCCGCUCCCCCUCCCUCCCUCCUUCUCACUCUUGGCCCGGUGCCAGUCUCCCUCUUCCCUCCCUCCCUCUCUCACUCCCUCCCUCCCUCUCUCAUCUGUGCGCGCCGGUGGCCGAAGGGCGGCGGGACGGGCUGGCGGCGGCGGCAGGAGGGCGGUGGGCAAGGAGCGAUGGCCGGGGUCAGGUGGGAGGGGCGGCGGGGGCCGGGUGGGAUGGCGGCGGCCGGGCUGGUCUCCCUCCUCUCUCACUCCCUUCCUCCCUCUCUCAUCUGCGCGCGUCGGUGGCCGAAGGGAGGUGGGAGGGGCGAUAGGAGGGCAGCGGGCGGGGCCUGGGCUUGGGCCGGCGGGCUCGGGCAGGGUGAUUUCCUUUUUUUUAUUUUUUAAUAUCCUUUAGUACCGGUUAUUGCACCCGGUACUAAAGGCACCCCUUUAGUAUCGAACUAACAAUACCUGUUAUGAAACCGGUACUAAAGGGGGUUACUAACCGGUACCGAUGGCCCUUUCCCCAGUAGUAAUAUAGCUUUAGCCAUUAAUAGGUCAGCUGUGCUGUCUUCUGUUGCUUAAUUAGUAUAUCCUAAGAAUCAUGUAGUGAUAUAUGUAGUGAGACUGAACAUGAGCAAACAUUAUAAAUGGUAACUUUGAAGCUAUGGUUGGAUCAAUACGACUAAUUGAGUCUCGUCUCUCCGAAACAGCUAUGGGCGGUCUGUUAGUCAUUUGCCAACCAAGUUCUUUUCUCAUGAUUCAAGAAGGUUUCUAAGAGCAACUCCAAGAGGCUGCUAAUCUUAAUCCCAAUAUUUUUUUUAGGAAAAAGAGAAAAAACAAACUCCAACAGUCCACCCAAACCUUCUCCAACUAAAAAACAUCCUAGCAUCGCAUAUAUUUUAUCGUUGGCAUUCCUCCCCCAAUCCUGAUUCCCGCACGCUCGCGCGUCCCUUCCGAUGGGCCCAAUACGGUGACGUGACCUGUUUUAAAAUAUUGGGGGCUAGUUAUUAGCGAUCUGAUGUGGAUUGAUAUGUUUUUGGGGGAAAUUUUUUUGGAAGAACUCCCGAUACAUAGUUUUGGGGAAGAAUUUUUUGGAGUACUCUUGGAGUUGCUCUUGCCAUGCUACGGUACAUCUUUUACCUUCUAAGAGGUAAGAGAUCUGAAACAAAUCUGGACCCUUAUUUUUUUUUAUAAAUGGUGAUUAAAGAUUAGAAAAGAUUUAAAAAUGCUGUUGUGGUUAACCUCCCCUAAUCGUGGAUACGGUAUCCACGGGAGAUUGAAACUAAAGAAAAAAAACACGACUGAUGCGUCUCCGCCCACACAUUUGUAACUAGGAAUUAGAUUUGAUUUUCAUCUACAGUGUUGCAUGAUUGUGUGCGUGUGUGGUGCAUGCAGUGUUUAUGAAUCAUGACGCUGCUCCGAAUGCAUCACAGGUUAAGCGUCCAGGUUAAUUAAAUUAUGAAUCAUACACGUUAUAUAGUUCACCAUGGUGCAAUUCAGCAAAGUGUCACGUACAUAUUUCAAAAAACAUUGCAUACGUACUAUUACGUGUACUCCCUCCAUUCCAAACUAUAGGUCGUUUUGAUUUUUCUAGGUUCAUAGAUAUUAUUAUCUAGAUAUAAUGUAUGUUUAGAUGUAUAAUAAUACCUAUGAACCGUCAAAACGACCUACAAUUUGGAACGGAGGGAGAGAUUUAUUUAAAAAGUUCAAAUUACAUUAUUUUGCUUUCACGAAAAAGUGACUGCUUCCCUAGUGUACCGCCAGGCUAACAUGUCACGUAAUUUUUUUUGUCAUGCUAACAUGUUGACGUUGGAUUACUAGGGAAAAGUAGUCACUUUUUUUUGCAAGUUGUCGCACACGUUAGAUGAUUAGAUCCCGUUAAGUUAGUUAGAUCUAAUAGGUAGAUUUUCCCUAUUUAUUCUAUUUUUCCAAAAUAAGAAUAUAAAAACAAAUAUGAUAAUUAUAUACUGAUCUGUUAAAUGGACGGUCCACGUUCAUUUCGGAGUACUUUAGCAAUUCCCAGUAUUGUUCGCAUCGAUAUUGUAAACCAACUUCACUAAGCAAUAAUGCAAAAUUAUUCAAUAAUCCUAAGUCAACCACUUGAGAUGUCAAUAGAUGCUAUAAUAAUCACCAUACCGCCUUUUAAUUUCCACACAGUUUUCUUCAUGAUGCGACCAUUGGUACAGACAAUCUGAAUUGCUGAAGCCGACCUGAGAACAUGGCCUAUCACUACAAACAAAGUACAAGAUGUGAUUUCAAAGUUACGAUUGGAUCAACACAUAAGUAGGACCAAGUAAGUUAUGUCUCUCUCAACUCGGUACCAGUGUGCUGUCUUCACUUGCUUAAUCAUUUCUUAAGGAUUACGAAGUGGCACCUAUACCAUGUCUUGGACAUGGCCAGCCAUUAUAAACAAAAUUGACAACAAAAAGAAUUUUAAGAUCGACUUAAUUUAUGAUUGGAUUGACAUAUAAUAAUAACCUACCGAGUCUUUUGUUUCUCAAGUCCUUGUUUGACCACAACUAUUUUUCAUAUAUAAUGCUAAUUUCUAACUAUGAAUUGGGAGAGCCCGGAAGAGAAUCGCUUAGACAAUGCACAUAAUAAAAAACUGGUCUCUCUUCAGUUGCUUACUUCUAUAUUAGAUUAUGAUAACGGCAUCCUGAAGCACCUAGGUCCCUCUCCCACCUUUGGUACUUUGGUAAGGGUGUGUUUUGAUGAUAAAUGAUACUCUUAUACUUGUGACUGACCCGUGUGUUUUGAAGUGGACCCUCAAUUGAAUUAAAGCGGACCCUCAAUUGAAUUAUCAAGCAGACUAAAAGUCUAAUGCGACAAAGGCUAAGGACUCUUCUAGAACCAAGUAUCACAAGGAGAUGAAGGAUACUUGGUGUAGUAUAGGGUUUGUUAUUUUUCUAACUCUUGGACCGUACUAUUAAGAGGGGUUUCAAUGAUAGUAUCUUGACCAUACAAGGCUAGCCAUGAAAAUGAUGCACACUCAGUAUACUCUGGCACUUGGUAGCUCAAAUAACUCAUGGAAGUACUCAAGAAGCGAAGAAAUUGACAAAAAAAUAAAAGGAAUUUGAAUUGGAUGAGUUAUAAAGAUAAGGGGACCGUCGGAUGUUCCGAUGCCCUAUUUUUUAGUUGCAUCGGAUGAAUUUUUCAAGACUGGAAUCUCUGGAGGGAGGCAUCACUUGUUCCGAUGCUACCAUCGGAUAAAUUGGUAGAGACCAUUGGAAAAAGCAUAUUUACAAUUCCAACUUCCAGAGAGGUUUUGGGUUUUGGGCCUUCAGCACCGGUUGAUCUAACGCCUUGCGUAUGACUAUCGGAUGAAUGCGUCGGAGCAAGCAUAUUUUCAAUUGAAACUUACAGAGAGGUUUACAGAGAGGUUUUGGCCAAACUCUUCAGCACCGGAUGAUCCGAUGCUCAGCUCAAGACCGACGGAGCAAUUAUCGGAUAUACUUUUCUAACGGUCACAAUCUAGACUUGUGUGCGGCCGGAUGUUCCGAUGUCCUGGGGAUGGAAACCAUCGGAUCAUCCGAUGGUGUGCUUUUUUGUGUACACUUUUCCAACGGCUAGAUAGUGUUGCCUAGCCUAUUUAUACCCAUUUGCCAGGUCAUUUAAGCUGCUCUUGACACCCUAAAGACUUCAAGCAGCUCAUGAGCAAGUGAAAGUGUGCUAGAGCCAAAAGUGAUUUGUAAUUUGCAAGAUUAAGGACUUCUCUUAGUACUUGAGAGUGAUAAGUGUGCAUCUAGUUCGUGGCUGAGCUUAGUGCUGGUCAAGCGAAGCAUUGAGGCUUAUUACUCUUGGUGGUUGACGUCACCUAGACGGUCUUGGUGAUUUGGAGGUUCUUGGUAAGCUCUUGGAGAUUGUGGGAGCCCCAAGAGGAAGAUCUUGUACAUGGUUUGAAGUCCGCCGUUCUAGAGAUGAAGAAGGGACAUUCUUAGUGAGCACUCAAGUUUUGGUGGCUUCAGGGGGAGCAAAACCUUUAGUGGGGGCUCCAACGUGGAUUAGGGGGAGCGUGAACUCCUCGAUACCAUGGGAAAAAAUCCGGUUGUCUUGAGUCCUCUCUCUUUAUAUUUCAGCACUUCGUUUGAAUAGUUACUUCCUGCAAUUUACUUGUUGUUUUGCUCUUGUUCUUGUUGUGUUUGUUUUGCUCACAUCUUGCCUACGUUGCAAUAUAUAUCUUAGUGUGCUCAUUGCUAAAUUUUAUCCUUGAUAGUGUGUUUAGUUCAUUGGUUUGAACCUUGUAGUUGGGCAUCACUAGUUAUCUAGGUUAAUGUUUGUUUUUCUCGUUCUAGAAAUUAAAAAAAAAAGUCCCAAUUCAACCUUCUUCUUGGGCCACCGAUCCUUACACAUCCGUACUGCAAUUGUUUUUUUUCCUCUAACUAACUCGACCAUCCGACCAUUGUUACAUUGCUUUCACAAGAAAAAGAAAGGUCGAAAGCACUCUUAUCGAACUUCUGAAACUUAACCCUUAAGCUCUAGUAGUCCAUAGCACAAAAAGCUACAAGUCCUUCUCCACUCUUCUAAUGCUCAUGAAAGCAAUUCCAGGAGAUCAUCUUGUUGUGUGUGCAUUGGAUGCCACUAACAAUCAUAGCUUGGUUAGCUGCCUCUCCCAAGAAUAGCCUUUAUGUUUGUUUAUUACAAAGGGAACGAACUUGCUGUUUACAUGUAGGGCAAAGCUAUCACUGGUACGUCCUUGCUGUGUCCUGUACUACCAAGUUAGUAACUCUACUUCAUCUAUUGUUGUUGCAUUAUGAUGGCUACUUGCAAAUUAAGGGUAAGAAGGACCAGCCACGGAUGCAAUGAUCAACUAAUCUGUGCGAUCUCGACUAGUGACCCAAAUGAUUUGUUGCAACAACGCAACACCUGAUGGUGCCAACCCUGAUGCAAAUGAACUUAAUCAGGAAUAGUACAAAAAGAGACUUUCAUGGCUCUUUUGCUUGCAGUUAGAAGACUUUUCUAUUACAAGACAGUUACCUAAAUCAAAAGGGAUGUCAAUGAUAAAGUGACUCGAUGAGUGGAGGGGAAAGCAUUCACCAUAUAUUCUCAUAACUUAUGAAGGAUUACACCUAUGGACUGAAAAGAGAGAGAGGUGAUCCGAACAUAGUUACAGAAAGAAGAACAUCACAUAAGAUUCCUGUCAAUAACAUAGAUUAGAUCCCAUAUGCACUAUCAAUAUUCUUUCAUAGCAAUUAAAAGAGAUCCUUUUUACUUCUUAAUUUAUCACCUUUAUUUAUGUUUUGACAAGGAGCUAAAAGGUUUUAUUUGUUUGAAUAAAAAAUUCUCAAUUUGUGAUGUAUCCAUGUAAUCACACAAUUCGUGCGAUAGUAUUAUCUGUUUCAAAAAGAGCACUCACAAAGAAAAUGAGAAUUAUUGUUUGUAUUCGUAGAAAAUAAAAAAAUGUGUUUGGAAGAUGUAUUCAAAGUUUUACGAGAUCAUCAUUUCAGGUGACAUACAUGAUCAAAUGGCUAAGAUAAGACACAUGAACAGGGGCGGAUCCAAGAUCCAUGUCUAGAGGUGCUCCCUUCCCUCUUCUUCUUCCUCCUUCUCUCUUUUCUUUCUUCCUCCUCUUCAUCUAUGCCUAAAAUUUGUGGGGGGCUCCGUGGACUUCAUGGCCCCCCGCCCCCACGCGCUGGAUCCGCCCUGCACAUGAACAGUAGAUAACGAUAUCAAUUACACGGAAGACCUGCUGGGUAUUCAGGUUGGCUUACAAUACCAUUCAUAUACACCCUACCAAGAAUAUUGUUGCGCAGGGAUAUGACACACGUAAAAAUAAAGUCUGUCCGGAGAGGCCCCAGCAGGCUAGCUAGCCACUUCUAUAUGUGGAUGGUAAUCCUUAAAGGAGUGCGUGGGAAUAGAACCGUGUGCUGUUAUUCAUAUAUACCACCCUACCAAGAAUAUUUGUUGCGCAGGGAUAUGACACAUGCAAAAAUAAAGUCUAUCCGGAGAGGCCUCAGCCUCGAUCGCAGGCUAGCUAGCCACUUCUAUAUUUGGAUGGUAAUCCUUAAAGGAGUGCGUGGGAAUAGGACCGUGCGCUCUUAUUCAUUCCGUUUACAGCUCCGCGGAAAGUAGAUUAUAUUCCUCCUACAUGUAUGGACAAGGGGGGAACAAGAUCCAUGGUUUCUCCACUGUUCUAACUCUAAUCGACUACAACCGUUAGCAAAACAUGGGGGACCAAAGGAAAGUAUGCCCACACUAAGAGGACCAAGCAAUAUUUUUUGUGGCACAUGUAGAGUUACGUUGUGGCUUAGUUUAUCAGGCAGCUAGGGUUCCUAGAUAAUGGAAUCGAUCUGGUGGACUUCUAGAACAUACUAUAUAUAUAUAUAUAUAUAUUGAAGGAACUAAACCUAGCUACAUCACCUAAAGACGAAUAAGCUUUAGAACAAUGUGUAAUACUAAUUGGCCACCUGGCUACCAUAUCUGGUAUUUUUUUUUGUAAAUUGUAUUAUUAUUGUUUUUCUCAACCUAAAAUGUGUGAAAUACUUCCUUGAAAAUGGUAAAAAUAUAGUAUUCAUAAAAGCCUUAAUUGCACACGUGCAAUCCAUAUCCACACACUAGAUAUUCUUUUGCAAAUUCUCUAAUAUAUUAGAAAAACACCGCAUUAUAAGGAUGCAUUUGGAAACCUUAAUUAGUGAUGAAUGCCGUACAAAAUAGCAACAGGUAGUACUAAACUAUUCAAAGAGAACUGAGACCGUAGUUAAUUACUUUAUUUGUAUAGAAAAAACUGCAUAGGUACCAACCCCCGGGUAUAUAUAGGGUUAUCUUGUCCAAAGAUCGGACAUACGUGUAGCGUGUAUGUAACAUGCAUGCAGGAAGCCAGGAACCAAAUGCUCUCUGCAAGUAUCGGAGACUCACGACCGGGUGCGCUUUAUACCUUUUGGACCAGCGGUACGAACGCAUCAGCUACGGUUAAUUAUUGUCUGGGUUGAUGAGCGCCACCGUCCCCGGUCGGAGGAGAAUCGAUAGUCCACGGUCGGAGGAGAAUCGAUACCGUACCCGGCCAGCAGCCGGCCUGCCGGUGGAGAAACGGAGCAAGGUCGAUCGGCCGAUGCCAUCGAUUUGUAUCACGACAAGAGCAUGCAUGUCUAUUCUAGGAGUUGAACUAAAAAAAUUCAAAAGGGGUCUAGGGCCAGUAGAUGAGUGUAUGAGACGAAAUUAUGCUUCGCUUUUGGACUUGUAUUAUGUGUAUGUGCGAGGAUCGAAUCAGAGAAAAACAUUCAUGCAUGGAGUACUGGAAGGAGCUAAUUAAAGCAGGGUCUUGGAGUCAGAGUCACUAGCCAGUAGAUUAACGCGGGAGGUUUCCGUUUAAGCAAUACUUAUUGACCACCUAUCUAGCUCUAGUACAUAAUUAACUUGUACACCCGUAUAGAAAUUAAAAUGGAGUACUCAUCAUGAAGUGAAUGAGGCGUACUGGUACAUGGACACCGUAUUGACGUGAUAGUCCACGGUCGGAGGGAAUCGAUACCCGGCCAGCAGCCGGCCGGCCGGUAGAGGAACGGAGCAGGAUCUCGGCCGAUGCCAUCGAUCGAUCGGUAUCACGACAAGAGCAUGUCAUCUAGGAGUUGAUCGAACUAGAAAAUUUGAAAAGGUGUCUAGCUAGGGCUCUAGGCUCUAAAAAAAAUCUUUAUAGAGGCACGCAUGUGUAUGCUCUAGAUGAGCGUGUAUGCGACGAAAUUAUGCUUUUGCUUUAGGACUUGUGUUAUGUGUAUGUCUGAGGAUCGAAUCAAGGGAAAUUGGGAAAACAUGCUUGGAGGACUCGAAGGAUGUAAUGUGGGAGGUUUCCCUAAGAAAUACUUAUUAACCACCUAGUAAGAGGCUCAUCUUGAAACCUCCAGAACCACCUAGGAUUCCUAAAUGGACACUCUAGAAAAAGAGAGAAAUCUUAAAAAUUCUUACAAGAAAACAAAACAUCUUGCCAUCAAUCUGUAAACUCAAGUCAUCAUAGUCAGUGGAUCUAAUAAUAGUCUAAAGUAACCCUCUAAAUCUAUACCUAAAUUACUCACAUCUGUCAUUAUAUAAAAUUUACUAAAGUAACCCCUAAUAUUCAUCAAAAUUACCCACUCAUGCCAUGUCGGGGGAAUAGUCCGGCAGUCCACCACGGAGUAGACCAAGGUGAUAGAUUGUGUGGAGGUGCAGAGCGUAAAAUUGAUCGAUCAGCAGUGCUCACGGUCAAGAGCGGCCUGGAUCCUCACAUGAUUAAUUUAUCGGAAGUUAAUUAAAUUAUUGUUAUUUAUUGCUAUUAUGUUGAUUUAUGUUCAUAUUUAAUGUGGGUGGUAUAAACCUAUACUUUUAGUAAUUGCUAAUAAAACUUGACCAACCAAUUAAAAUGCUGAAUUACUAUUAAACCAUAGCCUAUCCUUGAAUGGCCUUACACUACAUAUUCCUCAUGCUUGCUGAGUACCAACCAUAAGUGUACUCACCCUUGCUAAAAUCGCUGCUCAGAACAAGUCAACUUUGAGGAGGUUCUUCAAGACUUCGAGGAGUUCUAGGCGUACAUGUGCCCUCAGUCAACUACCUGUGGAGUCGUCGUCUUCGUUGGAGUUCCACUGCUAUAAUAAAGAUUCUUUUUGCUAUUCGAUUUAAAGACUAUUGGUCAUGUAAUAAAUAUAAUACUCUCUUUACGUUAAUGCAUCAUCUAUGGUAUUUACUGAAGUCGUUGCCUGUGUGUAACUUGAUGCUAGCGUACAUGUAGUUCAUGCAUCUGGUUUUGCCUUUAAAACCGGGUGUGACAUAAUCCUCGACUAAUUUCUAUCUUGCCAUGUACACUACACCGUCUUGCGCCAUAGCCUUCAUGUCAGAUACGUCUCGGUGUCCAGCCCUGUACUCAAGACUGUCCAAAUCUUCUGGUAAGUCAAUGGAUAUAUGUACGGCAGCAGGCGGAGCCAUGGCGCAGGGGGCGCGAUGGAGAGGCAAGUGGUGGCGCAUAAGCGCGACGAGGAGAGGAGCCAAGCGAGGGCACGAUGCAGGCCGUGCGGGCCGCGUCGUGCCUCGGGCAGCCUGGUAGCCUGCGUGCCUUGGGCCAGCCCGAUGACCUAUCGUGCCCAUGCUUGGGCCGUCGGUUCAGCCCGUGAACGGGCACGGCACGGCACGCUGGUGGUGUAGUGCCGAGCCUAGCCCGGCACGAAAAUGGCUGUGCCUUGCCGGCCCAUGCCGGACCCGGCCGGGCGGCACGAAUGGACAACUAUAGGUGGCUGCUGGCCGUACGCAUUCUAUCUGAGCGAGGUGUAUUGUAUCAAGUCGGGGAUAAAAAGAACCUACUCCUGCUACCGAUCGACCUCAGGGGAAAAAAGAACGGCGGGAAGGAAAGCAAGAAAAAAAAACAUGUGUGUAGUCACGGCUGUGGUCCAAUCUACUGCCCUGGAGCCUCGCUCGUCUUUGACUUUAUCUGUGCAGCAGUGGCGUGUAUGCAUGACGACGACGCUUUGUUCUAGCCUCGCACGUCUCUCGCUCGUGGUGAUCCAUGCAUGUUCAUGCCCUUUACCUCGUGUUUAUAUUAGUUGCUUCCUACGGGGCCAGGGUUUACGACGCCGACGUGUAAAUAUUUUUAUUUCGUGUUCAUCCGUAUCACCAGCGCAGUAGAUAAAAUUUGGCACUGUGUACUGUUGAGUCAAACAAACACACAAGUUGGUCUACUAUCCGGCACUACUUGGUGAUAGGUAGUUUGUGGACGCGAGAGCAUGGCUCGUGAGGACAGACGACUUUCCAUGGACAUCGACGGAGAUAAUUUAACUGGUGGAGAGAGUGGAGACCGUCAGACCGACAGCUCUAGCUAGCUCUCACCGCGAAACGAAACUACAUAUAACCAGCCAAUAAUCUUCCAGGCGAUUUGUUUGGUGAAUGAACGUACGCCAGCCAGAGUGCCAGACAAUACAUGUGGAUGCACAAUUAACUAGUGGAGUGUUUUAGUUACCAUGCACAGUUACAGGAUGCGAUGAUCUAUAGUUACGUACUGUGCGCUGCAGCAAGAUAAGAGCACUGAGCUGUAAAUGCAAUCCACGCAUUUCUUGCUUUAAUUAUAAUAUGAUCAGGGGCGACCUUUUUUCUUUUUUCAAGGACGGAAAAAAAUGUCACCCGCCCUUGUUGAAAAAGGGCACGCACUGCAGCAAGCGCCCGCCCGGGAAAUGCAUUACCAGGACCCCGGGAAAUAGGGGUCAUCUCCGGAGGCGGCCGACCCUAUCAGCCCGGCUUUGAAAAAAUCAUUUCCUGAAGCAGGGACGGCAUUAGCCGUCCCUAAAGAUGACCUUAUUUCCGGAGGUGGCUCGUUCCUGUAAAUAUUUUUGCAGGAGCGGACCGGAAGGUCACCCGCCAUGAAGCUGCUUCCCACGCGCGAUUUGCAAAAUUUCCAAAGCCUCGGUGCGUGGGGCUCGCGUCCUAACAUUGUCUCCCUAUCACCACGACUCCACUAGUGCUACAGCAACCUUAUCUCCUCCUCUCUUCUCUCCCUCUCUCCUCUGUCUCCCUUAUCUCCUUCUCACGUCUCUCCUCUCUGCUGGGCAGGCAGGUGUGUGGAGGCCGGGCUGUGGGCACUCUAGGGUGGCACGACGCACGGAGGCCGGGGCACGGCCGCUAGGCGCGGCGCGGAGCUCGAGCCACCCGGCGUUGAAGGCUGGCGCGGAGCUCGGGGCCCCGGCGGAGAAGGCUGGUCGGCGGAGAAGGCUGGUGCGUCGGCGACCUUUUCCUCGACCGACUGGCGAGCGGCGUGGCUAGGCGGCGGGUGGCGCAAUGAGGUGGUGCAGCGGGUGGUGCAACAGCGGCUCCUGUGCAGUGGUGGGCCCACUUAGAUUCAAUGAUAUUCAAUUGAAUACCCAUUAUUUUUGCAAAAAAAUUUCAUAUAUAUAGUGUAUUUUAGGUAUAUGUAUGAAAAAAAUAAAAAUACAGAAGCUAGCAUAGACAUUUCACUCAAAAAGGCCCACCGGAGGGCAACUUUGCUCUCCCUCGACUGGCCCAACUGGCCCAUCUGGCCUGCAUCUGCCAACUUGAUUGCCCCCCCACCGUCCCACCCCCACGCGUGAGCACAGAUUCACGCACCACGGUCCACGGCUCCAGGGUCCAGACGCGCGACCGCGAACCCUAGGCGGCUUCCGGCGGCGGCGGCGGACCGGCGGUGGCGGCGCCCGGCGGUAAGCGGCGGCUGGCAGGCUAGGAGGGCGAAGGCGGCUGGCGCCUGGAGCCGAGCCAGCCGCGCUGCGGCGGCCGACGGGCCAGCGGGGGUGGGCGCGCAGGGCGCUACUGGCCACCGUGGGUGGCUGGGCGCACCACGCUUCGUCUGUUCGGCGCUGCGGCUCGCCGGCUCCGCCCUCUGUGAGCGGCGAGUCCAGUCGGCCGACGCGGGCACGCGGCGACAGCCGGCCCCAAGCCCCCAAGGCCCCUACUGUCUACUGAUUUGAGGAUUUUGUGAACUGCUAUUCCUGAUUGUUUGUGAAAUUGAGGUGAGCAUUUUCAAUUGUUUGUCAAAUUGGGAUAGCACAUCAACUUGCAAAAUGUGGAUGCUCAUGAAUUUAGUUCAAUGUGAAAUUGUAAAUAUCUGAUAACUUGAAAUUGUGUAACUUUUAGGUUUGAACCAUGAAGAGGAAGGGUAGUGCCGCUACUGAUUUGAGGAUUUUCAUGGCAAGGGCUGCUGCAAAGAAGAGACAACCUGAACCGGAGAAUGUUAAUCAAUCUUGCAAUGAAAGCCAAAUGCAACUAGUAUUAUUCCAAGGGCAGAGUGGUAGUGAAACAAGCACGGUACCACAUGAACCAGUGAGAUCUAACCAGCCUCCAGAGAACGGUACAACAGAAGAUGGUGAAUCCAUACCUGUGGAAGAAAAUGAUUCUAGUGAUGAAGACAAGAAUGAUUAUGGCAUUGAGCAUGAUCCUGGAUUGAGGGCUCCGAUCUCAAGUUAUGAUGUCAAUGACCAAGAUUCAGUUAGAAGGGCAUACAUUACAUUGGGGCCAUGUCAACCAAAGAUGAAGAGGGAUGCUUUUCUGCAACAUGAUUGUGGAGGUAUGCGCCGCUUCCAACAUAAGUGGUUUGCUGAAUUUAAGUGGAUUGAGUACAGUGUGGAUAAAUAUACUGCAUUUUGCUUUGUUUGCUAUUUGUUCAAAGAUAACUGCAAAUUUCCUGGUAGAGAUGCUUUUGUUGUUGAAGGGUUUAGAAAUUGGAAUAUGAAAAGGAGAAUUCAUAGGCAUGUUGGUGCUAUCGAUAGUGCUCAUAGUGAAGCUGAAAAAGAAAUAUAGAUUGUUUAUGAGACCUAAGGCAUCAAUCCGUGAAUCUGUUGCAUCAAACACUACACAGUUCAAGGCUAAGUAUCUAGCUCGCUUAAUAUGGUCACUUAAGUGCAUAAGAUUUCUGUUGCGUCAAGGGUUGGCUUUUAGGGGUCAUGAUGAAACAAAUGAUUCACUCAACAAGGGGAAUUUUUGGGAACUUUUAGCAUGGCUAGCAGGAAACUUUGAAGAGGUUAAUUUGGUGGUACUAGAGAAUGCACCAUAAAACUGUCAGAUGAUAGAUCACAAGAUCCAGAAACGACUCAUUGAUGCUUGUGCUCAUGAAACAACUAAAUUUAUCAUUGACGGAACUUGGUGAUGAGUGUUUUGCAAUUCUUGCUGACGAGUCAAGUGAUGCAUACCUACUAGAACAAUUGGCUCUUUGUUUGCUUUUUGUCACUAAAAAAGGAGAACCAGUUGAGCAGUUUCUAGGUCUUGUCCAAGUUGAAGAUACUACAUCAUUGACUCUUAAAGAAGUAAUUCAAUCCUUGCUUAUCAAAUAUCAAUUGCCCCUAUCCAAGGUACGUGGUCAAGGGCAUGAUGGAGCUAGUAAUAUGAAGGGUCAUGUUAAUGGUUUGAAGAAACUAAUUAUGGAUGAGUCCCCUUCUACUUAUUAUAUUCAUUGCUUCGCCCAUCAACUUCAACUAACACUUGUAGCAGUUGCUAAGGAGAAUACUGAUUGUGAUUGGUUCUUUGGGCAACUUGCUUAUUAGUUGAAUGUUCUAGGGAUGUCUUGUAAAAAGAUCCGCACGCUUCGCAUUGCUCAAGCUGAAUACAUGAUUGAAGCAUUGAAAUUGGGUGAAAUUGAAACCGGGCAAGGAUUGAAUCAAGAGAUGGACUUAACAAGGCCAGGUGAUACACGAUGGGGAUCUCACUACAAAACUGUAAUGCAUGUUAUGUUCUUGUAUCCUUCAAUCAAGAAAGUUCUCUUUAGGAUUGGGAAUGAAAGUAAAGGGGCUGAGGCUAAUGGAGCUCAAACUAUGCUCACAGUAUUUAAGUCCUUUGAGUUUGUUUUCCUGCUACACUUGAUGAAUGAAAUAUUUGGAUACACAAAUGACUUGUGCAAUGCUUUGCAAAAGAGGGAGCAAGAUAUCGUAAAUGGAAUGGAUCUUCUGGAGUUCACAAAGGUAGAACUGGAUGUUUUGAGGCAAGAUUCUGGAUGGCAAGAAUUUCUUACCAAGGUCACUUCUUUUUGUGAGAAGCACAAUGUUAAAGUUGUUGACAUGAAUGGGAAGUAUAUUCCUAUGCAAAGAUCAAGGCAGUUCUACAGAGGUGCCAUUAAUUAUCACCGGUUUCAUGCUGAUAUGUUUUUGGGUGUCAUUGAUAGACAAGUUCAAGAGCUCAAUAAUAGGUUUGAUGAGGUAAACAUAGAGCUACUUAGAUGCAUGGCAUCAUUCAGACCAGCCAAUUCCUUUUCUGCUUUUAAUGUUGAGAACUUGGUUAAGCUUGCUGGGUUCUAUCCACAUGACUUUGAAUUUCAAGAAAUAAACCAGCUUUAUUUUCAGUUGCACCACUAUAUCAAUGAUGUCAAAAAUGAUGAAAACUUCAAAAAUUUAAGAAGUCUAGCUGAGUUGUCUAUGAUGCUAGUUAAACAAGGAAAGAUUUCUCGGUACGAAAUUGUUUAUAAACUUCUCAAAUUGGUGCUUGUUCUCCCUGUUGCAACUGUUAGUGUUGAGAGGGUCUUUUCUAUAAUGAAUUUGAUAAAGAACAAGAGAAGAAGUAAGAUGGGGUAGAAAUAUUUGAAUGGUUGCUUGGUCACAUUGAUUGAAAGGGAAUUCUUCAUGCAAGCUAAGGAUAAGGACAUCAUCGCUCAUUUUCAAAGCAUUGCAGAACGGAAAGUUAUCCUAUAGCUUGUAAAUUGUAAUCUUUGUUACCAUUUUGCUGUUUUAGCCUCUAUUUAUUUCACAUGUUGCCACUUUGAUAUGUUGAUCAUUAGUAGCUGAACAAUUUUAAUUUGUGAUCAAUUUUAUUAAUCAAUGAUGCUACCACUUAAUUCGGUGUUAUAAAACUAUAAUUUAUUCUAUUAAAUUUUUUUUCUUGCCAUCUCCAAUUUUGAAUACCCAUAGUCUAGAUCUUGCGCCCGCCACUGCUCGUGUGUGGGCUGCAGGUGGAGAAGCUUGGUGGCAGGGGUCAUGGGUGGAGGGCGGCGAUGGCUCGGCGGGGGCUGGCCCGGCAAGGCCACGGCCUUGCCCCGCAGCAGCCAGGGGUCGCGGCACCAGCGAGGUUGCGCAGGGUGCAGGACCGGCGGCGGGGAGCCAGCAUGGUGGCCGGAUUUUCCUUUCUUUUCUUUUUUAUUUUGCUUUUUUUAAAAUCGGUUUCUAGGGUGGGUGAGUGGGUGAGGCCGUGGCCUGACCUGAAGACGGUACGUGCAGGACUGGGUCGACGCCCGCCCUGGAAACAGCCAUUUUUAGCUGAAAAAGUAGGGUGAGUGCCGCGCGAUCCUGCCAAUGCCGUUUCGCCCGACACUGCAAAUGUUCUCCGUAGUAGCGGUCCCCAUCUUUUUUUGACAUAAAACAUAGGUAUGCAUGGUAGCUAGGAGGUGAAUGUACGUACUGUACCGUGGCAGAGGUGAAUGUACGUACUGUACCCUGGCAGCAGGCUGACCAUCAUCAUCUUUUGCAUGCUACUAGGGCCUCAACUUGCAAAACGAAUAUUGCAUUGCAACCUAGGAGUAUAUAUACGGAUUAGCCAGUGUAGUCAACGCAGAGGAUUGGCUCGGACUAGGCACGUCAGGUGAAAUUGGAGCCAUUCGUACCCAGACGUACUCUUUCUUUUUUCCGUUUCAGCGGACUGUGACAGCACAUCUUGCAUUAUACUGACGAAAGAAAUUACAUUAUCGUACGUGGAAGCACAAGCGACCAGUGAGCUAGGAGCAAAGGGAAACCAUGCAACGACAUCCCACAUAUUGUACGUUGUCCGUUCCCUAAUCUCUACCAGCUGGUCAGCUCGCUACCUGUCAUCAUGACGUGUCUCUAUGUACGUGGCUGGCUAUCUCUGACUUAUCUGUGUACGUAACAAGUUCAAUCCAGAAAGAAAUGAAAAACUCAAAAAAAGCAUACAUCAGGCAAACAUAGUUAAAAGAAACAUAAUCAGAAAACAAAUCUCGUCUGCUGUAGCACUAGUACAAAGAUGACUUUGCCACCUUUGCACUGCACGGUUCCAUUUAAUUUUCAAGGAACUUUGUCUGAUAUGAUCUGUUGUGUGCGAUCUUAGCCAUUGCAAAUACUAAUGACAAAUCCAGCCUGAAAGUCAAAGGUGCUCCCCAAAACACUGGAGUUCAGAUGACAACUAGCUUGCAUGUAUAUUAUAUACAGAAAAUAAAAUUCUUUUCUUUAACCUGCUUAGCCGCCCCAGAACGUGCAUCGCAAGCAGGGCCGGCUCUUGAGAAGUUUAGUUUAAUGGUUUUCCCAAAUAAACACUCCUCAAACAAAUGAAUAUCCUCAUUUUUUGGCAAGAUAAGUGUUGCUUUCAUCCGUCCAUAAGCUAGCUUCUUUUGACAAACUGAUGAUUGAUAAAUAUGUUUUACCUUUCACCAUGUAAUUUCAAAGCGUGCUGAUUAAUUACCUAGUCCUAGUUCUACUAGCUACCAGGGAGCGUUAGCCCAGACAAAAUACAUAGCCCUCCAAAGAAAAAGUGCUGUUGCUGUCAUAGUAACUCCAAGGAAACCGAAGCAAACGGCCAAAGCGACUCUUCGACGAACCACAUGCAAAUGAAUGUGUACAGUAGUACUCUCUCCUAUCUUUUACGGAGUAACUUGUUGGUUCUUCCAUCUCCCCGUUGAAAACGAAGCUUGUCUUGGUCUGCAGGGAUAUCACCAUGUGCACGGAAGUGACUGUUAACCGAGACUGGCAUCUUGUAGCUGACGACUGACACUGGCUGACAGGCACUUAUAUAAAUAUAGUAAUACAAGUAUAGUUGUUCAUAAAAACCUAUAGGGUUUUCUGUGCCCUUCUUCCAUCACGAUAGUUGUAAUAAACAUAUGCCUAGAGGCUGGAGGUUGCACGCAUUACUGGAAAACCUACUUUAGUUCCGGUUGGAUAGGGCCAUAGAUCCUGAAAAUCCAACCAGGACUAAAUUUUUGAGACAAAAAGGGAUCCUUUAAUCUCGGGUCAUUCGUCCGGGACUAAAGAAAUGGGCCACCCAUCGGCCGCUGCCGCCCGCGCCCGCCCGGGCCACCCGCCGGCCACCACCACCCAGGCCCGCCCUAGCUGCCAGGCGCCCGCCCGCCUACCUGGAAGAGGAGGAGGAGGAGGAGGGAGAGGAAGAGGAGGGAGAGGAGCACGCUGCCAGCCUGCGGGAGAUAAGAAAGGGGAGAUAAAGAAGAAAAGGUGGAGGGGGGCACGUGGAAAGGUCCCGGUUGGGCGUUUAGUCCCGAUUAGUGUUACCAACGGGGACUAAAGGCCCCCCCUUUAGUCCCGGUUGGUAGUUCCAACUAGGAAUAAGGGGGUCUUUAGUCCCGGUUAGUAGUUUCAACCGGGACUAAAUGCCUCACCAGAUUCCCUCCAUUACAACCGGGACUAAAGGGGACUCUUUAGUCCCAGUUGAUAUUACCAAGUGGGACUAAAGAGCCCAUCAGAGGUGGCCUUCGGUGGCUCAUUUUUGACUCAGGACUAAAGGCACUUUAGUCCCGGGUCUAAAGUCAAUCGGGAUAAAAAGGUUUGGAUGGAAGUUGAGUUCUCUAGUAGUGACGCAUGCCAAGUCAAAUGUUGUCUUUGGCCUCUGGCUGCUAUCACUAUUGGAAAACUGAGUAUUGGUCCUAGCCCUUAGUACCGAUUGGUUUUUGACCCGGUACUAAUGUGAGCAUCAGUACUAAUGUAGUACUAAUGUGAGCAUUAAUACCGGGUCUAACGGCUAAUUCCCCAAGAGCCCCCGUGACUCCCUUUAGUACCGGUUGGGCUCCAACUGGUACUAAAGGUCACCCAUUAGUACCGGGUGGAGCCUCCACCCGGUACUAAUGGCCCUAAGGGCCUUAUUUGGAAGAAGUCUAUAUUUUAGGAGGUACCUUAUUGGGAAGUCCUUGAGGUCCUUGAUGCCUCGCCUAUUGCAGCAUCUGCAAAGGCACCUCCUUGAGUCCUGUUAGGAAUGUAGUUACCAUCUUCUUCAUCAUCAACAUCUUCCAUCAUAACUUCUCUUUCCCCGUGCUUGGUCCAAAUAAAAAAUAAAAUAGUUAGGCAUGAAUCCUGAACUGUAUAUGUGGGCAUGAAUAGUCUUUCUGGAUGAGUAAUCCUUCUCAUUUUUGCAAAUUCAGUAUGGACAACAAAUGAAACCAGGCUGCGGCUUGUUGGACUCUGCUAGAUCGAGAAAACCACGCAAGCUAUUAAUAUACUCCAUGGAGCAUUUGUCCGCGUUGUACAUCCAUUGCCGAUCCAUCUACAAAGUAUUACCGAACCAAAGAUAUUCUGAUCAUCCAUAGAAUUAUACAUGAAACAUAACAAACAUGAUACAAAUACCAUUAAAUGCAAAUAUUGCUGAAAGUUUAGAUAGAAAUACAUAAAUUUAAAUUUCAGAUCCAAACAACAUGAUACACUACAACAAACUCAAAUCUUGCUGAAAGUUUAGAUAGAAUACACAAAUUUAAAUUUCAGACCCAAACAACAUGAUACACUAUGACAAACCAUCCACUGAGUACUAUCUAGGAGGACUGGGACUGGCAGUGGAGCAUAACAACCACCAAAAGGAGAUUCUUGACCCGCCGCAAUAGCAUCUUCAUGACAUCUUUGGAAAUAACGAAGCAUUGCUCUCUCCCACGUGCUCAUUUUCUUCGGCUUAUCAUGAGGGCCAACUAUGGUUUUCCCCUUACCGCGAGAGGAAUGAUGAUCGCCCCCACCAUCACCACUACCUCCAGCAGCAGUAGCCAUCUCUAUGUACGACAAUUUAUUUAGCUCAUAUUUGCAAAUGACUAAACUAUGAACAAAUUAUAUUUUUUCCCACAAUUUAUUUAGCUCAAACAUAACAUAUAAAAGAAAAGUUUCUCCGUUGUAGCUUAUUCUAAAACUGACUAAUUACGUGCCUCUAUUUCAUCUUAUUAUCUCUAUGUACCACAAUUUAUCUCACUCAUAUUUGCAAAUGACUAAAAUAUGAACAAAUUAUAUUUUUCCCUAUAAUUUAUUUAGCUCAUAUUUGUAAAGGACUAAACUAUGAAAAUAUUCCUCUAACCUCAUAUCAAUUUCUUUGACUAAUAUAAAACAUAGCAUCUAAAAAAUUGUAGCUUAUUCUAAAAAUCACAAAUAUGAGCUCUAAAUAACAUAUGCAUAUAAAUGAGAAAUUUCUCCAUUGUACCUUAUUCUAAAAAUCACAAAUUACUCUAACUCUAAAGUAUAAAACUUAGUAUACUAACCAUGUAUCAAGCGAGGAUGAAGUUUCUAACCUUUAGAACACUUGAAUAAGUGAAAUCCCCACGAAAUGGUCAAAAAUAAGGCAGCACCGUACCUCCCCUAUUUCGCCAUGAAUGGAUGAAGCUCGAGUUGGAGGAAAUGCCUCGGGCAGGAGGAAGAAGACGCUUGAUUUAUAGGAGAAAAGUUAGUACCAGUUGGGGGGCUUCAACCGGUACUAAAUGGGGUCAUGGAGGGCUUCUGGGGAACUAGCGGUUAGACCUGGUACUAGUGCUUACAUUAGUACCGAGUCAAAAACUAACUAGUACUAAGGAUUAGGACCAAUGCUCAAUUUUUCAGUAGUGUUGGCGGUACUUUUCUUUCUUUCUUUCAUAGCACAGAAAAUAUGCUCUUCUUCUAAUCGAUCGGCAGCUCUCUCAUUAUUUGGUUUGUUUUCAAAAAUUUUUUUUGCCAAAGAUAUAUGGCGAAGGGCCAAUGAAGCUGGAGGCAGAGACGUACUGGCACGUUGGGGAGAAGAAAGCAGUGACAAACUGCACAGCUAGCUAGCUGCGAGAACCUUAUUCCUGAGCUAAAGUUGCUGGCAUCUCGCCCAUGCAUAUGCAUACCUCUGAUGAGUGUGGCUUAUUAGAUAUAGACAUUGGGUCCUGCUUGGCCCCCACACACAUCAUAAAAUUCACUUGAUUUACAUUGUACAAGAAAGUAAACACGCAAUCCUGUGGGCUACCAGAAUGUUUCAUGUGCAUAUAUAUAUUUAGUAACAUAUAUACUGCAGUAUUAUUAUUUGAUUGAUCAUGUCGACGCUAUAUAAAUUUUAUGUAUGUAUGCAUGCUAGGAAAGAAAAAGUAUAUUCAUGGAAGACCACGGUUCAACUUAGUUUAUUAUUAGCUAGCAGGUUUCUCCCGGGAUAAAGCGCGCGGUCUUGUGUUUAUUAGUUUAAUCUUACCUCAGUUGACACAUUAGGUGUGGAAACAUGACUGGAGACCAACUGCAAGUCUCCUAAUCUGCUACUCGCCUAACACGUUUAGCUUUCGGUCGGGGUUGGGGACAGAUGGGUCGGAUAUGAUGCCUGCACGAAACACACGUACUUAAAAGCAUGGUGCGUGCCAGGCGCUGCAAAAAUAUAGGUACGGUGUUUUCAUUGCUAGGCAACGGAUUACCUAGCUGCAGGGGCAAAUUUUGCACCAUCCAAUAACACUACUGUUACUGUGUUGAGCACAUGCUUGAGCAUGACCACACACUGAAUCCAAGCAAGCAACAACAAGAUGAUCUGAUCGAUCAAGCAGUGGUAUAAUCGUCUCAGUGUGAAUAGAACACGCACGCCAUGCAUGCAUUUUCAACACACGAAACUACCAACACCUUACAUUUAUGAUGAUUUGGAGUUCCGUUUUGCUGAAAAAAAGAUGAGUGAAAACUUCGAUUAUUGCAUAUCCAUUCCAUUAUCUUGGAUGUGACCUAGCCAAUAAUCGCUGAGGACACAAGCAGGAUUCGCCCAUGACAUCUCGCGAGAUAGGCAUCUCCAUGUAUCAUGGCCACUCCUUUUCUGCAUCUUUUGUUUUCCUGUAGCACUAGGCACAGACAAGAGAUAAAGAUUUGCAUCCCUCGUCGUGCAUGUGAAGCAUAUUUGGUGUUUGUUGAGGCGACAAAAAGCUGAUCGAUGUUAAUUUCUCACGAAUCAUGACUAUGCGUCUACAGUGGAGUUUAACGAGAGCACAGUUCUUUCGUUUCUUCUUCCACAACGUAAAAUAUGUACGGCCACAUAGAUCUCAUCUGGAACCGUCUGAUGCACUUCGCCGGUUGGUAAGAUGAUUCCUGACAUUUGUAUGGUCGUGUACUAUACUCACUACUAGAAAGCUGACCCUUCAUCCAUGAGCUAGUACCAGAAGAUUUUUGGUUCGGUACUAACGCGUGAAAUUAGUACCAUAUCCAAAUUUUCAGUCCCCAAAGGCUUUUUAAGUACCGGAUCACAACACCACCCUGUACUAAAAGGUAGCUUUUAGUACCAGGUGGUAUUGUGACCCGGUACUAAAGUGGGUGGUGUUAUGACCCAGUACUAAAUGGCUCUCCACGAGUUACUUCGAAAGGAAAGCAUAUCUAACUUCAUCACAUGUGCUAUGUAGGUGAGAUGAUAAGGAAGGUUCGUGCGAGGCUUGAGGUCAUGGGUUCGAAUCCCACGGACCGCGCACGCACAUAUUACGUGUGAAAUUCGCGUGUGUGGGGGCCUCCUGGCUGUUCAUCAGUUAAUGUCAAUGCCAGGGUUCUAUUUUUGUUUUAUAUUUUAUUACAAAUGUCAGUAUCCAUUAGUGUUUUUUAAAAAAGGCUAACAGUUUUACCUGCAAUUUUGGUAAAAUGCCAAUUAACAACAUAAUCUUCCAGAACGUCAUUGCCCACAUUUUUAUGGUUAAUUAGUUAACCAAAUAUACUAAACCCCACUGGCCAUUGUAAGAUGAAACUGUUAGGAAAAAAAUACUCUUUGUAGUGGUCUGGGAAACAACUCAAGUGACAAAGAUUUCGGAGCAAAGACACCACUGACCAGGGCAGAGCUUACCAAACGGAAGCCAUCAACAUUUUUCUAAUGCACAUCGGAGGUCAUUCUUUUUAGAUUUUUUUUGUGUCACACAUGAAAAGAAUUCAGUUUUUUGGAGGUGUCGUGUAACUUGCAAAUUUAACUCAACUGGCUGCAUUGGUCUCAUUUGGAAAGGGAUAUAGUUGUGUCGUGAAAGAAUUAAGUAUACAUUCAUUUCGCUACAAUCCUUCUUCGUUUCUUUGCCACACAUGGUUCCUCUGAAUUUUCAAAGUCAAUAAGAUACCAAUUUGACGAGUGUAAUUAAUUUAAAAAAGAGUGACGGUGUGUAGGACAAGUAAGAUUGAUAUGCCGUUCUUAUUGAAAAAAAAACCCAUCGUGUUUCCAAUAGACAAUGAUAAGGACACUCCUGAAAACCCAACAGGAUCUCUUGAGACAAAUCCAAGUUCCUUUUUUAAAAAACACAACAUGUUGAUACACGAGGAAAGUGUUUUUUCGAAGCAUUUUCAGGCCUUUCCCUUGUGCUUCCGGCACACUAAAAACACACCCCAGAUUCUGAUAGUGAGGGGGUGGGCGGAGUGAAUGCAAGCCACUAACCAGAAAGGAAGACCCAUCCAGAAUAACCUCAUUCGUUCCACUCUUUGCAUUUAUCCCCUACCCAUUUGCAGUGUGCAACAUGCAUGACCACACAACACGCAGUUGCAGUAAAUUAAACUAGUAAUUAAACGGCCACCAGCUAGUGAUCGAUGCAUCUCAUGUGUCAUUUGGUGUGAGCGAGCCACCAAAUGUCCAGCACCUGUUGCUUGCAUCUCAUGUGUCAUGGGUCAGUCACCAAACGGCGUACGCAUCCGAAAGGUUCUUGGCUUGUUUGCUUAUAACCUCAUGAGAAGUGGUUGGCUGUAAGAAGACUAGAAGAGAGCACACCGGGGCAAGAAGAGCACAAGUGUUGUCUUUUGAGCCAAGAGUCUCUGCAUGGUCAGUUAAGGGAAGUGUUCCCUCUUAUGAGACGACCAAAUCCGAUGCCCAAAUGGUUCCUAUCGCAAAAAAUGUUUCUGCUGUCAUGUGUCUGGUUGGAUGUGUGUCGUCCGCUCGACCAAGCAAGCAUGUCUAGCUGCUAGUUUGUUCCGACCUACUAUGUGUACUACCUUCGCAAUCGUAAAUAUAUGUCAAUUUAGGAUGGUUGCUGAUCAACGUUUUUUUAGCUUUAGCCAUCAGUAUAUUAAAUUCCAUAUAAACUCACAGACACAAGAUUGGUGGUAUUAUAUAUUCAUUGGAAAAUUUUGUCAUGGUGAUAUGUAACUUUUUUUUUCUGUUUAAGAUGAUAUUUUUGUUUUUUUAAAUGGGUAGUUAUAUUGAAGUCUAUGACGGCGUCGUAAUGACCUUGUGCCUGUGAUAAGAGAAAAAAAAUACCUUGUUCUAUGUGUUCCCUUGCUCUACCUAUAAUAAUUAGUAGUUGGACCUUUUUAGUAUAAUGAAUGUCCCCUAAACUAUAUUUUGGUUCAAUUUACCCCCUAAAUUAUUGUAUUUGGUUCAACUUAUCCCAUAAUGCAAUUUGUCAUUUUUGUUUGUACAAGUUGAUUUUCAAUUUGAGACUUUGCAGGGUGGUAGUGGAUAUCAUAAUCUAUAUGAGGGAUACGGGUACCCACUGGUCCCCACCGACCAGGAUACUGGUCAGCCUAACAAGUGGGCCCCGCCCGCCCGUGGCUGCGGGGGCAACGCAUGAAGACACGUGGAGUACAAGCUCGGAGGCUAAGCAAACGGAUUCUACCCAGAUAUUGCGGGAUACACGUUGUAGUCCGACUCAUAUUGCUUUCCAUGUAACAACCGACUAGGAUUAGAUCCUAUCUGAUUGUAAACCUAGGUCAUCAGACUAUAUAACACAGCCAGGGACGCCCCUGAGGGGGACCUCAACUCAACCCAAUAGAUGUUAACUCUUUGCACCUGCGCUCAGCAAUGUAAUCCACCAGAACACAGGACAUAGGGUAUUACUCUCCGGAGGCCAUAACCUAUCUAAACCUUGCGUCUCUGUGUUAUCAUUCGAGUUCUUGAUCUUGCGAUCUUUCCCCACCUACAAAUCUACCACCUGGGUAACCCCUGGUGGAUUGCCGGUCACUAAAUCUGACAGUUGGCGCACCAGGUAGGAGUGAUCGUGAGAUCCUCCCAGCAAGCUCGAUGGCAUCCCACCCCGGUGUCAUCUUCCGCAAGAGCAUGAAGGACUUUCUCAACAAUCUGAUCCAGCUCCGCUUUGGGAGGAUGCCGGUGGACUCCUACUCCGUCGUCUCCAUCACCAACUCGGUGUCCACCGCCAGCUCGGCAUUCGUCGAACCUACAUUGAUGAAGCAAGGUCUUCACCCAAGGAUCAUCACGCUUCUUGCCCAGCAGGUCAGCGAUCUCUCUCUCUCUCUCUCUCUCUCUCUCUCUCUCAGAGAGGAUCCCGCGCAUCCUCGUGGCAACCCGCCCACCCACACCCUCCGAUCUAAUCGUGGGGCUAGAUUGCAUCAGCAACACCAUUGCUGAGUGCAUCAACCUCUCCGGGGCGGCACUACGCCCCGGAAGGUAGGCGCAGGGCUCUCCCCACAACCCUUUUGGCAUUAAGAACUCGGCUACCGUGUUUUUCUAAAAACUUGUACAGUCUUUCCAGAUCCAAUCUAACGACCAACCCGCACCCACCCAGUUUCCGAACUGCGGCGAGUUUCAGGUCCCUCGCUUCGCUAUAACCCCAAACCCUUAUGGCGAGGGCGACGACGGAAGCUCUACAUCACUAGAUCGGGAAGUCUUCGCUGUCUCCGCAGACGAACCUUAAAAGUUAUGUACUCUUUUUACAUUUUGCAUUGAAUAAAUAAAACCUCAGAGGUUCUUUGUGUAUCUACUACCUUCUUGCUUUCUUACCUGAGCCCUUACUCACGCUCGGGGGGCUGUUGGAUCUGAUCGACAGACUAUGCCCUCGCCGUUAUGCUCGGGGGCUUCCCCCAUUAUGCGCUGACCUUCGGGUCUGACCCAUUCUCCUACCCCUCUCAUGGCAAAUAUGACUAACUUGUGUGGAUGGUGUCCUAGCUUAGCUCACGAAACAUAGACAACUUUGCAUCCACCCCUCUACAAGCUCGAGAUCCGCUCUCAGCAGAGUGCUGGCGAGGCAACGAUGGGCGCUUAGCGGGUACAGGCCCAAUCUACACAAUGUCCUGUCGUAUACACAAAAGGAGGGAUGGAUGCUUUCCAUUUGCACAAGUUAAUUGCCUAGCUUACUUGUCUCACAAUACAGAUUGAUACACAUCAUAGUUUUUUCAUUACAGGUUCAACUCUUUGACUACCUCCUCUGCGACUUGUUGAUACUGGUCAGCCAAUUUCGGAAGGCAUUUGGGGUUGCGCCCUACAAGUGCCCAGCGCACGCUUCCGCUUUUUCACACAGUUCUGACUACUUUGCGGCUUGUCCGUCUCUCUUAAUAGUUGCUAAAGUACUCGGAUAGCACAUGCUUUAAUCCGUGAAACCUCGACUCAUCUUGUGAUGCCCCGUCUACAAGCUCAAGAUACACUCUCAGUAGACUGCUGGCUAAGCAAGGCUAGGUGCUUAAAUGUAACAAGCUAACUACCCGAAGAAAUUACAUAGCCCACAAGAGCAGCACGCACAAGAAUUUACUUCUACGCUGAAUAAAACUCUGAGUUAUUUAAUUAUUAAAUACUCUACAUUAUGCUACAUAAUCUUUGUAUUAUUCUUUUACAGCUCUGAAACUACUCGGUGUGCCCUCCCGUUGCCCGACCAACCUCUUUGGCUUGGGACGGGAGGCGACUCAGCGUGCUUUCGUGGCUCAGCCGACUCCCAGGCUCGAGGGCUAGGUACCACAGAAGACUCGGCAUGCCUCCCGUUGCCCGGACGACCUCUCUAGCUUGGGGCGGGAGGCGACUUGGCGUGCUUCCGUUGCUCACCUGGCUCCCAAGCUCGGGGGAUGGGCGCCACAGACGACUCGCAUGCUUCCAUGGUUCGGUCAGCUCCCAAACUCAAGGGCUAGGCGCCAUAGAUGACUCGGUGUGCCUCCCAUUGGCCGACCGACCUCUCUUGCUCGAGGCAGGAGAUGAUCUGGCGUACUUCCACAACUCGGCCGGCUCCCAGGCUCGGGGGCUGGGUGCCUUACUUUGGUCGGCAUCCCUCCUUGGCUCUGCUAGUCCUCACGCUCGGGGGCUAGGCACCACAUUGAGAUUGGCAUGCCUCCGUGGCUGCACCAGUCCUUGCGCUCAUAGGCUGGCCGCCUUACUUUGGUCGGUGUACCUCCUUGGCUCCGCCAAUCCUCGUGCUUGGGGCUGGGCAGGUCAGCAUGCUUCCUUGGCUCCGCUAGUCCUCGCGCUCGGGGGCUGGGCGCCUAUUUCAGGUCGGCGUACCUCCUUGGACCGAUCUUAAGCGCUGUACCAACUAUACGAAUUACAAGAUUCUAGACCCUUGGACCGAUUACUUUAAUCAUUUCAAGGCUCGGGGGCUACUCCAUAUGGAGUGCGUCUUGUGACGCCCUCCAUGUGCUUCUCUUCGACCUGCAGGAUGCCCAACAUUUUGAAGCUCGGCAGUUGCUGGCGUCACGCGCAUUUGGUCAACACUUGCUCAAAAUACAAUUCUUUCUUCUUUUUUAGCACUGCGCAGCCUCUCUGUCAUCAUGACAAAACUGCACCAUCAUCCGGAUACAUUGAAGACCUUGCUACACAUCCGUCAAGUUCUUAUUCGACUCCACAUUGCUCAGGAGCUUGAAGGAUACGGGUACUCACAGGCCCCACCGACUAGGAUACUAGUCGGCCUGACAAGUGGGCCCUACCUGCCCGUGGCGUGUGGGCCAAGGCAUGAAUACAUGUGGUGCACAAGCUCGAAGGCUAGGCGAAUGGAUUCUGCCCGAAUAUUGCGGGAAACACGUUGUAGUCCGACUCAGAUUGCUUUCCAUGUAACAACCGACUAGGAUUAGAUCCUAUCUGACUGUAACCCUAGGUCGUCAGCCUAUAUAAGGUGGCAAAGGGCGCCCCCAAGGGCACGUUAACUCUUUGCACCAGCAAUCAACAAUACAAUCCACCAGAACACAGGAUGUAGGGUAUUACUCUCCGGAGGCCCGAACCUGUCUAAAUCUUGCGUCUCUGUGUUACCAUUCGAGUUCUUAGUCUUGCGAUCUCUCCCGCCUACAAAUCUACCACCUGGGUAACCCCCUGGUGGACUGCCGGUCACUAAAUCCGACACUAUAUUAAAAAAUAUUUAUGAAUUUUUCAUCAUUAUUUUUUAAUAAUUUGUUAUCUCAAGGAUAACUUUAAUUAUUAAAUAUUCUACCCUAUCAAAAUAAUCAUAAAAAAUUUAUGAUAUAUUUUUCUAACAUGUUUUAUGAUGUCUGCUAUCAUCUCGCAAAAUUUGAACUUAAUACUCCACUUGUGCGUGGAGAAAAAAAAGAUAAAUUAUGUUAAGGGUAAAUUGAACCAGAUGUUAUAGUUUAGGGGUAAACUGAACCAAGAAAUACUUCUGGGGUUAUCCAAACUUUGGUUACACUUCAAGGGAGUAAUUUGGAUUUUUUUCUUUUAGUUUCAAUAUGCAGGAAAAAACUUGGUGACUCAUUACGCCGUAAAAGCAUCUGUGGAAAUGCCGGUCAAUUCCGAGGCUAGUCACACUUUUGGCACCGGCCCUCGAAAUAGUCACACUUUUGGCGAGGCUCAUUUAACAGAAAUACAGAAUGGUACUGGAAAAGCAUUUCCAUGGUGGAGCCGUAUAAGCUAACAAAUCAUGGAAACGAGUCAAUUUUUAGGACCGGUUCCAAAUGUAGCCCGUGCCUAGAAAUGGACGUAUUUUUAGGGCCCGUCGUCUAUACAGAUCCUUUCUAGCCAUAUAUUUACAGGGCUGGUCGGUAUGGAUGGAGUACACUGUAUACUACAUAUUGGUCUUACAGUUAAGCUCUCAGUGUAAUUUAGGGCUAGUUUGGCAGCCCACUUUCCUGCAGGAUUAUCAGCCUUUUCCCCGCGGAGGAAGCCCACUGUGACGACCGACCCCAAAUCUUUCAAGUUAAUCUUAAUCCGAGUCCCUGAUCUCCCUAUCUCAGUUUCCCCGAGUUGAGUGCUCACUCUCAGUUCUGGUCCCGACCCCUGAGAUCUGACCCCUCUCCGCUAGCCCCCAGUCCCGACCCCGCCGACCCCAACUCACCCGCCGGAUCCUUCUAAGUCUUCCCACAACACCUCCCCUCAAUCUGAGCAGUGGACCAACCGAGACUGACUGGUGGACCCACAAAAAUCUUUUCCCCAGAUCUCCCGUGACAGACGCACUCGAGUAGCAUGCCCGCUUCAGAGUUCCUCCGCCACGUGGCUCAACUUCUCCGACACCCGCCGCUCCACCCCGUCGCCGGUCACGACCGGAUGGAUUCUCGCGCCCCCUUCCCCAAUCGCAGCGGAAGCCCCCUUCAACCCUUUCUGCAGCGCCUCACCGCUCGCGCCCAUCAUCACCCCGUCGGACCCCCGGCUGCAAGGCUCGAUGCCUCCCGGCUUUUCCGCCGCCCCUCCACAGUCGCGCCGCCCCGGUACGUGCUACGCGACGAUUCCUCCUCCGCCAACCCUGACCCCGGCCGCGACAGUCCCUUUCCCACCUUGUCAGAGCUGCGCCCGACAGUCUGUUGCUUCACGCUCGUCCGCGCGACCGCAGCCCGCCUGUCUUCUCACCUGUGCGCCCUCGCUUCUAGCGCCGUUCCCUCGAUCACGUCCAUCAGAUCCGCCGCACGACGAUGCCCGCCUCCGCCAAAUCUCAACCACCGGCAAAACCGCUCCUGCGCCGCCCUGUCUCUGGUGCCCAAUGGCCAACGGUGUUUUCCCCGAAGUCCUGCUCCGCCGCACUGCUGCUCAAUCGCCGCCCCGGCAGCGCACUCCAUCAUUCUUCCCAGUCUUCGCGCCGCUCCAACCUUCUCUCUUCCGCGCAGCUAUAAAAGGGAAUACCAGAGCUCCGCUGGAGUCCCCUUCGCCAUCGCUGCCUUGCUGCCGUUCCUUUGCUUUGUGCUCAAAGCGCUACAGCCUAAAUCCCUGAGGAACUCUCCUCUCCACUCCACGCCCAUCCUUCCAAUCCGUCCAGCCGCUUGCUCCUCCGCGCUGCGCAAGAGCUUGCUUGUUUCCACAAGAAACGCCGCCGCCGGAGCACCACCGGGCAUCGCCUACCGAGUCUUAGUGCUCCAGUUCUUCCACCCAAGUCCGCUCCUUCCCGACCCCAAGCUCCACCUGUAAGACGAAGGUAAGCUGCCGACCCUUCUCCGCCUUGUCCGACCCCUUCUGUUCGUCCGACCCCUGUUCCGUCUCGUCCGACCCUGUCUGUUUCGCCGACCCUUCGUCCGCCUCGCCCGAGGGCUCGGCUGUAUCCUUUUCCCUGACCCGAGGGUAUAUGUGUAAAAAUCGGGGACUACUCUGCGUUAAGUCUGAGGACCCCCAGCACAUCUAUUCCUCUAGUCCAAGGGUCCGAUCAUAAGUUCCCUCCCAUCCGACCCUUAUAUCUUGAUCUCCACCAACUCAAGCGAACUUCCCCACCUUUUUCCGUAGCCAUGCUACAAAGUUUCUGGGCUAGAACUCGCAAGUGUUGCUGCUGAAAUAACCGUCUAAAUGCUAACUCUUACAUUGCAUUCGCGUAGAGCUGCGUCUCGCUGACAGCUUCUACGAGUUGCACCCGGUGCCAGAAGACGAAGUUGUAGCCGAGCUUCCGCUUCCCGAAGCCGAAGCCGCCCCAGCAGAAGACCCCUUCCCUUCCUCCUCGCUUGAAGGCAAGCCCCGGAGCAUGAACCCCAGUUUCCCAAACUUGCGCAUGCCUUCUGCUUCUUGUUUGUGCAUUUACGUAUAGGAGUUGUUUGCAACUGUAGAUGCAUGACUUAGUUCCCUGAUCUGAACACUAGUUGUUGGACCGAGUAGUUGCCAUGCUUAAAUAGGAAGCGGUAAAAGUUGAGUGAUCCCCUAUCACUCGCAAGUUGUAGGAGUUGAUUGUUUUCCUUCUGUCACAACUAUGAGGACGAUGGACGGGGUAGGGUUUUGGUUAACUCUUUGGUGGUUGGCUGAUCGCCCCGUCUAUCUAUGAAACUUGUUAAGGCCCGACAGUGGUGGUGUUCGUGAUCAAGUGUUUGAAAGUACUAACCUCAUACUUAUUAUGGGAUGAGGAAGCCGAGUACCGGAUUGAACCUAGACGUGAGCGGUCGCCCCAUUGUCCUUGGAACGGAGUUCCCCUGUGGCCGCACGUGGUGGCAAGUGUGGUCACAGGACGGCAGAGGCCGGGUCUGUGGAACAUUGCACCAAAGGAAAUGGGCCCGACACGGGUUAGAGGAUUGAUGGGGAAGGCCGACACAGGAAGCGACCCUCGGUGGUGCGUGGAUGUCGUGAGGUUAGGUUCACCAUGCAUGGUUAAAGAACUCGAAUCAAUUCGUCUGCCUCUCACAGUUUGAGACUGCUUGAUUGCUAUGCUACCCUGAGUAAGAAAGAAAUAUGAUGAUGACAUGGUUUUGAUGAUGUUAUAUAUAUACCUUUUGGUUGGUUCUAUGUUUGCUUAGAGUAAGUUGCUAACUUAGACCGGAUAAUGAACUUAGAACCUGAGCUAAAACUUAAAAAUAGGUAUCUACAUAGUGCUUUUGGCAAAUAAACCCCUCAGCCAAAGAGCCUUGCAUGUCUAGAAAGGUGGAGUAGCUUUACUCUUGUCGGUUAAGUCUUGUUGAGCUUAGUAGCUCAGCCUUGUUGUGGCUUUCUUUUUCAGGUGAAGUUGCUGCUCCCGAGCCUUCUUCCGUUGGCACUUGGCCGCCCCAACUCCCUCCGGGUUGGACGGUCGAGUGGGAUCCCUCCUCGGACGGUGAGGAGAGGGAUCACUGACGUCUUGGCUGGCCUCACCAGUGACGUCCGACCCCGGCGCUAGCUCUGCUGUUUUAUUUUCCGCUGCUUUUGAACUUGUAAAACUCUGAUGUUUGUUUUAUUGUCAAACUAAAAUGGCCAAAUUUGUUUAACUCAGUGGACUUGUUGUAUUCUCUGGAACCACUCACCUUCGUGUGGGUUUUGCUAAACUCAGUCCUGUCAAAGUGGUUAAAUCGGAGGAAAUCCGACGGCAUCUCGAGUUAGCCCGAUUAAGGCCGAGUGUCGCAUGUUAGGCGACUUAACCGUGCCUUGAUUUAGCUAAUCCGAGGUGGAUCCGCCACACCCACGUAGAAACCUUCCACGCAUGAUCUUUCCAACCCAUUUGGAAGCCUGCUGCGGGGAGUUCUCCAGCCCGAGCAAGCCCAACUAUCUGCGCGGAAAUGCACCCGACCUACUGAGGCCUGGUAUUUUUUCCCGUCAUGCCCUCGACUCGACUCCCCUAUCGCUCGACAGAUCGCCGCUGCCACAGUCACCGUGCGUGGCUGUUUUGCUCUCUCCUCCUCCAUUGCGCGCCCUUCACUGUGGUCUCCUCCACCACCUCCGCAUCAGGUAAGUCCUCCUCCACCAGCCUCUCCUUGCCCCCUACUUGCUACGCAUUCAAUCUGCGUCCAAUUCCUCCUAGGCUCCUCUCCUCUCCCUUUUCGAGUCUCUGUCGAAUUUUUAGCCUCGCUUCGGUUUCUUGUUCUUUGGGAGUAGGAUAAUAGUUACACUACCCCUGUUGGUUUCUGAUAGGAGCUCGGCUUGAAUUUUCAUCUGCGUCGAUCUUGUCCGUGUUGGUAGUAGUAGAUCCUUUCUACUAGCUGCGGCGUGCUCUGUUUCAUAUUCUUGCCGUUUCUUGUUCUAAUAACCUAUGGACGCAUUCAAUUUGGGUUCAAUUUUGCAAAAUGUGGGGGAAAAAGGUAGCUUCUGAAAUUGUUGUGCAAAAGCUGAGUAGGUGACAGGAUAUGUUGUGCUUCAGCUAAAUUUCUGCAGCACAUAUUAGAUCUCAGCAAAUGAUGUUUUCACCUAGUUGUGAAGUGUUUUGUGCAU